UUGUUUUUUCAAAGAUGUUCAACUUUAGUGUAGUUUCAUCUGGAAUGAGCCGUUUGGUUGCAUGUAGUUGCAACAGUAUGCAAAUACAAAUUUGAUAUUUAAUUUUAUAUAUUUAACUCUAACUACUGCAGUGGGAACUGUAAGAGAAGGUCCAAGUAUAGCAGUUCAAACUACACUCAAAUUGGCCGCAGUUCCAACUGCAGUAGUUGAAGAGAGUAACUUUAAACAACAAAUAUGUUUACCUCCUUAAUUAUUUUUUAAAUAAAAAAUAAUUUUUUUAUAUUUGAGGUAAUUUCACCAUCAUAUAUAUAUGAAAAGAUAAAAUUUUAAAAAUUAUUUCUCAACUGCAUGCAGUCAAAUAAAUUAUUUAUAGUUGCAACAUUUUCUAUUACAUCCAACCAAACAGAAUGCAUGUAAUUACAGCUGCUAUAUUUUUAACUAUAUGCAUCUUCAAUUAUAUUGUAUUUAUAAUUACAUCUAAUCAAAUAACCUCUAAAGUUGUGUUCAAUUUUAGGGAAAAUAAUUGAAAAUGAUCGUACUAAAUAUUUUGAUUUUAGGUAAAGUUGUUGAAAAUAGUUGUAUAGAAUAGUUCGAUUUUAGGUAAAAUAAUUGAAAAUGAUCGUUCUAAAUAUUUUGAUUUUAGGUAAAGUUAUUGAAAAUAGUUGUAUAGAAUAAAUAUUUCUGUGUGUAAGAAAGUAAUUUAUUUUUAUGUUUGGUUUGACAUAAAAUAAAAAUAGUUUGCUUAGGGUGUGUUUGGUACUCUGUAAAACUAGCUGAAAAUUUUUUUUCUAUGUAAAAUUUUACUUUUUGAUGUUUGGUUGCUAGUAAAAAGUUUUUCACGGAAAAAGAUUUUUACGCAUACUAAGAAAAUCCGAAGUUUUCGUUUUCCGCUCGCUGCGAGCGGAAAACGAAAACUACGGCACCAAAAAUCACGGCUCAGGAGGCUUCUUUGUGCACGGUCCACGAGGUGCCCAUCACCUCGUGGACCGCGUGAGAGAGAGAGAGCACAGGUCCAAAAUCGCGGCUCAGAGGCUUCUUUGUGCGCGGUCCAAUAUAUAUAUAUAUAUAUAUAUAUAUAUAUAUAUAUAUAUAUAUAUAUAUAUCCCUAUACUAUAAACAUCAUUUAUAUUUUUCUUUAAUAUAUUAUUGUGUAAUAUUUUAUAUAUAAUAUAUUAUUUAUAAUACAUAAUAACUAUUUCAUACUAUUAAUAUAUAUUAUUAUAUAUUAAUAUUAUAUAUUUAAUUAAUGUAUAAUACAUUUUAAAUAACUUAUAUAUAUAUAUAUUCAUUAUUUAAAUAUAUUAUUGUGUAAUAUUUUAUAUUAUAUAUAUAAUAUAUUAUUUAUAAAUACAUAAUAAUUAUUUUAUAGUAUUUAAAUAUAUACUAUUUAAAUAUUAUACAUACUACUUAAUUAAUGUAUAGUAUAAUAUAUUUUAGAUAUUUUAUAAAUUAUAUACUUAUAAUACUAAUAUAUGUAAUAUGAUAAUUAGAGUCGGCUAAUAUGAUAAAUUUUUUAUUUAUAAUUUUUAUUUCUUCAACGCAAACAACGAAAAAGUAAUUUUAUAUAUUCUUAUUUAUAAAAUUAUAUAUUUUUAUAGUAUAUAAUAUAGAUCUAUUACAUAUAUAGCCUACUAUAAUACACUAUACUACUACUAUCACAUUAAAUACUUAUCAAUUUAUUAUAUUAUAUAAUUUUAAUAUAUUUAAUUUAUAAAUAUAAAUUAUAAUAAUAAUAUAUAUAGCCUAAUAAUUAACAUAAAUUAUAAAUAAAUAAUAUAUAGAAUACAUAAUAAUAAUAAUAAUAAAAUAUAUUUUUUCCUUUCAACCAUUCAACCAAACAACUAUAACUGAAAACUAGUUUUCUUUUCCUACAAACCAAACACCAAACUACGUAAAACUUUUUUUCCACUGAAAAUUUUUUUCCACCGAAAAUUUUUUUUCCCAGUUUUACGUCAAACCAAACAGCCCCUUAGCUGCAGGACGAAAAUUAUAGGGACCAAUUUAGGAUGUUUGGGUGAUACAGGGACUAUGGUGCAAUUUACGCGGCGUUUACCUUUCCCAUAGAUUCCUUAUUAAAGAAAACAAUAGACGUGGCUUCAAUCUAUUAGCUGUAAUAAAUUGGACUUAUCAUCUCCACCAAUCACAUAAGGCCACGUCGACACCAAUGUACAACGUGAGUUUUGAGACUUUGGGAGCUCCCGGGAUUUGAGACUUUAAGCUGAUUCUGGUGAUACGUUGUUCCCUGCACCCGGUGCAUUGCCGCAUCUGUGCACCACCUCUUUUAUCGGCCCUCCAUCUCAUCUCUUACUUUCGAUCCAACCGUUCAACCCCGGGUUCUUUGCAAAGAAUUUUUUAUUAUGUUAUUAGUGGUAGAUUCACCAGACACUUUUAAUUGUAUUAUAAAUUAAUCAGUAUAUACAUAUAUAACGAUAGAGUUUUAUAAAUAAUAAAAAUUUUAUAGAGAGCUUUUCCAUAAAAAGUUGAUCUAAUUAUAACAGUAUAUCAUAUGUGAUGCACGAAUCUUGUAAAAACAAUAAACAGUUGAUCAAACUUACUCUUUAAUUUUUUAGUUUUAGAUAAAAAUUAAUUAAAUGGAGAUCUUUCUUAGAAAAAAGAUAUCUAAUCAACGAUUCAUCAUUACAAUGCACAAAAUUUUUAAAAUAAUGGUGAAUAAUAUUUGAUUAAAAUAUGAGAUCGAACGAAUGAUGCGUUAACAAGCAUUACAUGAUGUAUACUCAAAGCAUUAAUAUUGCCUUUAAUUUUUAAGGAAUGGUUGUUAAUUCGAUUAAUUAGUUCGGUAGAUCAAGUUUACUACAUUAAAUGUGAACUACCUUCAUCUGUUCUACUUCCAAUAUCACAUAUCAAGUAAAUUAAGAAAAAUAUUUUAAAUUUUUUUAUCAUUGCGAUAUUAUUAUAUUAUAUUAUUGAUGUGCUGACACUUAUAAUGUAAAGACUUUUGAUUGAUUCAUACAUGUAUUUUAACAAAUCAUAUAAAUUUGUUAACUCAUUAAUUAUAUAUAAUAAUAAUAACAACAUUAUAGCAGAAUUUAUACCGAUACUUGUUCAGAAGUUAAGUUAUGAUACUAUUGAUGAUAAAUAAAUUGCAUUUAUAAGUAAUUUUUUAGUUUUUCAAUUCAUGAUAGUACAUCACAAAAUGAUAAAAUCUACGCAUUAAAUGGAUAAAAAAAAAAAUUACUACUCUUCUAUUAUUAAUCAUACUUUUUUUACUAAUUUUAUUCUCUUCGCACUGGUCCACGUCAUAUAUGGUGGACCACGUCCAGGGAAUAGUUUCUAAGCAAUUUAACCGGUCUGAUCGGACGGGGAUCAACCUCCAGUUGCCGCGGAAGACCCGGUCCACGACUUUUCAAGAAAAACUUAAAAUCCUAAAAUAUAAUGAUCAAUAUAUUCUAACUUUUUAAAAUAUUAAUUUUUUUUUAUAAUAUAAUGUGUUAAAAGACGAAGUUUUUUUUAUUGUUUUGGUUAUGCAGUGGAUUAAACCUUAUUUACAAAAAUUUUAAAAUAAAAAAUUUAUUUUUAAAUUUUUAUCCUUUUUCGUUAAGUAAAUGUUUUGGAUGAAAAAAUUACAAGUAAUUCAUUAUUAAUUUACUCCUACACUUUUGAUAUGCAAAGUUUUAUUUAAAAAAAAAAACAUAUAGAACACCAAACGAGACCUAAGUUUUUUCAAAAAAAAAGUUACCAAAUGCCUAGCAUUCAUAUAUGUAUUUUUUUAUUUUUAUUAUUAUUGAAUGUUACUAAUGAAUAUUGUAAUACUCAUUUAAGAGGCUAUCUUAAUAUUCACACAAAUAAGAUUGAAUGGUGUGGAUCGUUAUAUCAGUUUUUGUCUUUAACCAGUCUUUUUAUUUUUGUAUAUUUUCAAUUCUAUGUGUACAUAAAAUUAUGGAUUUUGUGCCGAGAUGGUCUUGUAAAUUUAUUUUUGCUUUUGUACAAUUAAUUUAGUACCUAUCAAUUUUCUUUUUAAAUAUUAACAUCUACAAAUUAUAAUAAAAGAAUAAUGCCAUGGCAGUGAUAAUAAUAUGUUAUUUAUGAUAGAUACAUAUAUAAUGAAUUUAAUCAUCAUCAGAAAAGAAUAAAUCCAUUGUAUAUACAUGGUCUACGCAUAAAAAUAAAAUAUAGUUUGAGAACCAAAACAGUUAAGUUAAAACGCAAAACUUUAGGAGCUAAAUUUUUAUUUUAUUUCUAAACAAUAUCGUCAUUUUAUUUUUUUUAAAUUGCUUCGGCCACAUAAACCUAAUUAUGGAAGCGUUAUAUAUAUUUCUGAAUCAUAUUUAUCAAAUUGAUUUUUUUUAAUUAAAGUAGUUGUGGUAUCAGAGUUGCUUGUUUAUUCACGAGUCACGACGUGUUUGAUUAAUAUUCCAUUGGUCUAAUUCUUAAAUUAUAAGCUCAUUCAUUUGCAUGGACCCGGUCCAUUUUUCAGACGCAAAUGAAUUCGGGUUGAUAAAGCUCCUAUCUCGAUCCGUCCUAAGUGGGAUGGGACAGUAAGUAAAAGCUAAAAAUAAAGAAAAAAAAAAUAAUUCUUCUCGAAUCUGUCAUAAUUCGUUAAAAAAAUAGAGCGGAAAGCGUUCAUUUUUUUAGUUCAUUCUGAUUUAUCAAAAAUCCAUUUCUGUUAUGAUUUGUCCUAAUAGAAUAAUAAGCACGGGCAAUAUAUAAAAGAUAAAUAAGUUUGUUUCAAAUUUGUCGCGAUCUGAGAAAAUAGAGCCGGAGGUGAGAGACCCGUUCCGAUCCUGGAACUACCAUGUUUACAGCCCCCACUCUGUUUCUUUGCCUCUCACAGUUUUUGAUUAGCGGUCCACAGCUGACGUGGCGGACCGGGACCAAUGGACCUGUUCUUAAGCGGGGGUUGAGAGCGACGAAAAAUUCUAGAAUGCAACGGGUAUAUUAGUGACGUGGCGUAACAAACCAAUCAAAUUAAUCAUUUUAAGAAUAUAUGUCCCAUCAUGAUUGUAAAAAAAUAUUUUUAUUGUACUUUUGUUUGAAAAGAAGGAUUGUGAUUGGCUUGUUAUUGAUGACGUGGUGCAAGUGUGACAGUGUAGAAUUCCUCGAGAGCGACAGGGUCCGGAGUUGAGGCGUUGACUUUUUGGGGCACGUUCCACGAGGAAUUUUAUCAGUGGUGGUACGAACUACGAAGCCGUGCUUUGUUUUAUUGCUCCUAAUUUAUUCUUACAUAUUGAAUAUGACUUAUUAGAGUUGGGUAAGGAAUUAUUGAAUAUGACUUAGAGUUAGGUAAGGAAUUAUUUUAAUUUUGUCAUUGUCUAAUGAAAAGUUAAUCACUUUUUUAGAACUGUUUUUUUUUUCCCUAAUUCUAUUAUUUAUUUGGUAAAAGAGAGUGACGUAAAUGUUAAAUUUCUCACUUUUUUGUGUGUGUUUUUUAUGGAACACUUUCACAAUAGUAUAUAAGAUAAUAAGAAAAAUUGCAAUAAUUAAUUUCUUGCCUCCUUAUUUUUUUUAUUCUUUCUCUCACAUAAUUGUCCUUACUGUUAGCCAGAGUAAUAUCGAUUAUAAUCACUAUUGCUCGAAAAGGAAUAUAUUAUGAUGCCUGGUAUGAAUAUGAAAAUAUGAUUCACCAACUUCUUAAGAAUACAUCAUUAGGGGGAAACUAAAAGAGAGAAAGUAAUAGCAAAACUAGCGAAAUACGCAAACAACACACUCGUAGAAAGAGCUCAAUACUAAAACAAGCUACUGACCGUCCCUGGCGCAAGCGGCAAAAGGGCUUGAUGGGUUGGUAUUCGAGACCCAAGUUCGAAUCCUAGUUGAUUUACAUUUCCAGUUAAAUUUAUUUUUAAAUAAAAUAGACGAAGCGGGUAGAAUGCUAUCUUUCUCUCAAAAAAGAAAAAAAAAAAGAAAAAAAAAAGAAGAGCUUCAAAAAGCCUACGACGGUAUAGCAUAUUUGCAGCUUACUAUCAUGUAAUCACACUUGCUCAUGGUCGGGCUCAGACCCGAGCAAACCCCGAUCUGAGCCUGGCCCAAAUCACGAUCCAAAUUGGCCGGGCCAGGCCGGACCAGGCCAAACCAGGCCGAACCGGGCUGAGUAACUCCAAGAAAAAAGACCAACCCACUUUUACAUGGGCCCGUCAUUGUUAGACCGAGUUUUGACAAUUUUGAUUUUGUACAGGGGCUAUUUUGCAAAAAAGCGACAAGCGUCGUCCUUUCGCUUCGAGCACGAAUCGUUUCGAUCUCUUUAUGUAAAAAAUAAAUAAAUAAAUAAAUACACAGCCCUUGGCGCGUCUAAGCUUCUGCUCACUCCUCCAUCAACAAUGGCGCCGAAGAAGAAGCCGCAACAACAACAGAGGUCGAAGGCGAAGGGGAAACCCUACCCCGCCGAUGCGAGAACCCCCGCUCCGAAGCUCCAAAUCUCGGCGGAGAACGAGCGCCGCCUCCGCCGCCUCCUCAUGAACACCGACCUCCCCCCGGCCACCGCGGCGGCGGCGGCGGCGCCGCCUCCACCGUCGUCCUUCGCCGCCUCCUCCGCCGAUGCCGCGGCGACGGAGUCGCGAACUGCGAAGGCGAAGCGGCUUCGGAGCGUCUACGACAAUCUCUCCCUCGAGGGCUUCUCCUCCGAUCAGAUCGAGAGAGCCCUCUCCGCUCUCCAUGUUCGAUCCAUCCCUCCAAAGACUUUAAUUGCGAUUUCUCGUCCAUAGUGAAUCAGGGUUUUUGUAUGUUAUUUAGUGUUAAUUUGGUCUGAAGAGGGAUCUCUUACUUGUUCCAAUGGUAGGAGAGUGCGACGUUCGAGAGCGCUUUGGAUUGGUUGUGUUUUAAUCUUCCUGGAAACGAGCUUCCUCUGAAAUUCUCGACCGGUGCUUCUUCUUCUUCUCAUGGAGGUAGUCUCUUCAUAAAUCACGAUGAUAAGUAUAGUGACCCCAUCACCCGUAGGGUAUUUUUGAAGUAGUUAUUUUAGUCAAUCAAAUUGAUAAUUGUUGCUAAACAAAUCAGUGAUUCCGACAACAUUUAGUCGAAACUAGUGUGCUUUUUGUUAGUAUUUAAAGAUCAAUAGUUAGUAAAGCCCUUAAUUUUAACAUAUUAUCAAUUCAAUUGAUUAGGAUAACUCAACUCAAAAUAAAUGAAAGUUUAUGAGUGUCGAUACAAAAGGAGUUCAGAAGCCUAUCUCAAAAUGGCGUAUAGUUGAUCAGUUUCGAUUUAUUUCUAUCGAAGUUUGAUAAGAAACAACCAGCUUGAUAUUAGUGACUAUACUUUUAAUUCUUUUUGUGUUUCCGGCAAAUAAAAGUGUUUAGGAUCAUGUUAAACUGAUGAUAUUCCGUAAUUUACAUAUAGUGUGUAAUUUGUGCAUUCAGAGACAGAAGGGUCAGUUAAAAUUAUAGCUACUGCUCGGGAAGAUUGGGUUGCUCCGCAGCAUCAACAGGAGGAAGAGAAAGACGGCAUGGAUGGAAUGUCGGUUAAAGUGAAAGGGAAGCGUGAUGAAGCGUCUCUAGAUGACGGAAAAUCUUCUCAGGCAGAGUGGAUCCGACAGUACAUGGAACAAGAAGAAGAGGUAUUUGUAUAAGAGGUCUUUCUGCAUAUGGAUAAAUUCAUUAGUGUCUUUAAUUAAUUGCCAUAGAAUGCUAUUUGCAGUAGUUUUUCCUAGCCAUUCUUAACCUUAUAGAUCAAAUUUGUAUGUUGGAUUGGAUUUGAUGAUUUUCGUUCUAUAAUUCUUAAUCUACCAGCAUACUUUGUAUAUUGCACUUCACGGUUAAUUGGGUGAACAAUCAUGUAUGCUGUUGUACUCUUAAUAUCCAAGUUGUCCAAUGCAUAUUUUAUGGGAUCUCCUAUAAUUUGGAAAUUUUGUGUUUGCUUUUGAUGUUAGGAGGAGGACACAAGUAAUCGUGCUGCUUCAUUGGCUGAAGAGUACCGUGUUGCAAUGCUGGGAUCUAUGGAAGCAAAGCAGAAAGGAAACAAGAAAAGCCAGAAACGUUUUGACAAUACUAUCCACAAACUGAAGCAGGAAUUAGCUAUGUUAGGUUUACUCUCAGAUCUCUGAAUUGUUUAAUUCUUUGGUCGAUUACUUCAUUUUGAAUGUUUUAUCAUAUAUUUUCUUGCAGGUCUAUCAGAGGAAAUUUUGUGUUCAGGAUUGCAAGAAGAAUCCGUUUAUUCAAAAAUGGGGGAGGUCACAACAUGCGAUUCAACACCCCAUGAAUCUUUUACUACAAAAAAAGUGUUAGAUGAAGAUAGUCGGCUAGGUUUAGUUGCAUCUGAAAGUGAAUUACAUUUAGAUGAGAGCAGAAAUGACAGCUCUAUUUUGAGAAAGACAGAGGGUGCUGUUGAUCGUGUGGAGAGCCUACAUAGCCCUGUUAAUGCAACUUGUGUGACUAAGGAGGAAUCAGAGGAAUUAGAACUUGACAAUCUGUUUUCUGAGGAUUCUUCUUCUUCUGGAGUAUUACUGAAACAGCAAAAGACAGAAAAGGUGCCACACAGUAAAUAUGUGCAUGCUCUAGGAAACCUUGAUGAAAUAUGGAAAAAGGUAAUUUGGGCUUUUCAUCACUCUUGUAGAAACUAUCAUAGUAUUAUGGUCUUACUAUUGAUGUUUUAUAAUAUUAGUUAAUGACAUUGGGGCUUCACUCUUAAAUUUUGCUUCCCUUUCUGGCGGGAUUCAUGUUGGCAAAUGUUGUCUUGCGAUGCUUAUAUCGCAGGGGGAAUCUGGAAGAAUACCUAAAGCUGUUCUUCAAAAACUGUGCCAAAGACUUGGAUGGGAAGCACCAAAAUAUAGUAAGUUAUCUGAGAAAGAUAACAAAUUCGUCUAUGCUGUUAGCAUAUUGCGUGGAGCAAGUGGACGGGGUAAGAGUCGAAAAGCUGGAGGUUUUACCACUAUGCAGCUUCCUGACCAUGAUGAAACGUUUGAAUCCAUUGAGGUCUCGUACUCUUGUUCCCUAUCUUCUAGUUCUAUUUAUUUUUUCUAACCAACUUUUGCUUGUUUCAGUGUCUUACUGAAUUUUCUUUCCCCUGCAAAUUUUACUAUAUAGUUGAUUAGAAUCAUGAACUUUGCUUUGAAAAUCCCUUAUCUCACAUGCGAAGACAUAUGUGAAGGAUGAUAUAGUCACACAUUCAAUUAUUUUACUUUUUAUGACUUUACCAAUAUAGUCGCACUCAUUCAAUUUUUUUACUUUUUAUGACUUUCCCACCUCAGUUUUUUCAUGAUUUUAUUUUAAAGCUGUUCUCUGCUUCUAGGAGUCUAAGCAAUGAUCCUGUAGUGAUUGACAAGGAAACGAUGGUUUGUUUUGUUCAUUUGGUGGCCUUGUAUUCUUCCUCAAUGAUGUUACUGGCUUUUUUUGUACUUUUAGUACAUCAGAUAUUCUUGCGUUCCAUCUUUUGAAGUAUUUUUUGGAUAAAUUGGGCUACUUUUUCGCAGGACGCACAAAAUAGAGUAGCAGCUUUUGCCCUUUAUCAAUUUUUUCCAGAGCUUCCACUUAACCAAAUGCUAGUAGAACCAUACUCCUCAUUAGUUUUGAAGUGGCAGAAAGGUAUGAUUUUUUUUUUAAAAUCAGCUCCCCCUUUCAAUUUGUCUUUUAUUCUUUUACUGCUCUGACUUUCUUAUUUUCAUAUUAAUGAAUAUACAGAUGAAUGCUCAAGUGAACUCGAUAAUGAGGAUAUCAGAAGAGAUGGCUUUGUGGAUAUGAUUUUGAACACAGAUGCUUCAGGGUCGGCGACUUCCUUUGGCGCCCGAAAUCCUGCUGACAGUGAGAAGCUUGGAAACUCCUAUGAUGCGGGAGAUAAUCCACCACCUGAAAAGAUUAUCAUAGUCAAGUCAUCAACUGAUGCAGGUAUGCUCUCUGAGACGAAUCAUCAUAUUUUCCAUUGACAAUGAAUAGUGGUGAUCUCAAGACUAAAACUGGUGUACUUUUUCUACGAUAUUUUGUUAAAUACCAUCCUUAGAAGCUUUACGAUCGCAGUGGUCAUACAACUUCAUAUAACAUGUUGUACUUCUCUGUCCUUUUUUGUUGUCAAGUGCUUGGACUGAUAUUGAUCAUUUGAGCUUUAGAUUUUUCUUCCAUGGAAUUCUGUUAGAACUGUUGUCUUAGCAGAUAUCCUUUUAUUGUGGUGGGCAAGAUGAAGCACCUAGUUUAGCGAGCUGAUAGCCUUAUCCUAGUUAUGAUGACCUUGCGACUGGUUGAGAAUGAUUAUUGUUGUUGACGUAUUUCUUGGAAAGAAUCAUGGUUAAACAUUGCAGUUGGCUAUUCUGUUGUGGUCCCAUUUUUGUUAUUUUAAAUAUGUUGGACUGAUACGCAUGAUACUAAUCUCAUUCAUGCCCUUUCCCCCAGAGGAAUGAUAAUUUUCAUAGUUUGAACUCUGUUUUAAGCAUGGUAGUUUUUGAUUGGGUGUUUGUAGCUAUGGCUGUAGAAAAUCUGUCUGCUGCUUCUGAACUGGUUGAAUGAGUCAAUGACUGGAGUUUUUCCAUAAGUUCUUUUAUUACCUCAUGUAGUAGUUAAUUUUCCAAUGAUCUCAUUGUUACCAAGACUAAUAUUGAUUAUUUGACUGUACUAACUUCUUAGGUCGGAUUUCUCCGGAACAAGCAGAGAGUGUAUUACUGAAAAAUGAUUUGGCAAAUAAAAAGAAGCUACCUAAGUACAUGGUAUCUUGUUGAUGAUCAUCUAUUUCUCCUUAGUGUAAAAUUAGCAUAUGAGGUGUUAUAUUCUCCAUAUACAUUACAUAUUUUUAAUACUUUGACUGUAUCUCUUUUGCCAAUGCAGAAAAUGCUGGAAGCCAGAGCUGCUCUGCCUAUAGCUAACCUGAAAAAUCAUAUUCUUCACUCUUUAAAUGAGAAUGAUGUGAUUGUUGUUUGUGGCGAAACUGGGUGCGGGAAAACAACACAGGUUAGUUAUAUACCAUCAUAUCUUCCACUGAUUGUCUAAGAUAAUACUGUGAAUGAUUUUGGGAUCCUUUUUGAUAUACAAAUAGAGCAGAAUAUUGUCAAGGCAUGAAAUAUUUAUUUUCCUUAGCAACAAAAUAUUCUAAUUAGUUAUUAUGUAUUUUUAUCAAAUCAUUUCAACUUUAUUGAGAAAAUAACUUACUAAUUUUCAAAAAAAGGGUUUUGAGAUGUGCCAUCGGCACGGGAACUAUAUCAUACCGAUAUUUUGUUGGCACGAUAUGACACUGUGGAAACCGCCCGUGCCAAUGAUCCCUUAAAUCCUUGUAUAUGUGUGUGUGUGUGUGUGUGUGUGUGUUGUUGGCAUGAUAUGGCAUGGUGGAUACAGUCCGUGCUGAUGGGUAUUUAAAUUCUUGUGUAUAUAUAUGUGUAUGUGUAUAUGUAUGUGUGUGUGUGUGUGUGUGUGUGUGUGUGUGUGUGUACACGUAUAUAUAUACGUAUAUGUAUAUGUGUGUGUAUAUAUAUAUAUGUAUAUAUAUAUAUAUAUAUGUAUAUGUUUAUGUAGAUAUGUAUAUUUAUAUAUGUAAAUAUGUGUAUAUAUAUAUUUGUAAUUUCCACUUUUUUGCCAUUAUACAAUUGGUGCUCUUGCAGGUCCCUCAAUUUAUAUUGGAUGAUAUGAUUGACAUUGGGCUUGGAGGAUACUGUAACAUAGUGUGCACACAACCACGCAGGAUAGCAGUACGGUUAUAUCUCAAUCUUGGGUUCUCUUUGUCUUAUCUUAAUCUAUAGUUUCUAGAUGUCAUAGAAGUAUAUGCGCACUCUAUUUUUCUGUAAUGUCGUUGCAAUUGAGCAAAAAUAUAUACAACCGUUGUGGAGCUGUUAUAUUCAUUUUCUGACUUGCUGCAGUGCAGUGGUAAAGAACUUCAUGUUAAACAUCCUUCUGGUUGUUAAUAUGUCUUAAGUAGAACUUGCCAUUGGCAACGAAAGGAUGCUGGGACUCAGGCAAAGAAUUUUAGCUUCUUUUUUUUUUUUUUAAUGUCUAUACUGGCUUAUGCUUUUUUAUGCUUAUAGUUGCUUACUCAUCUUAUUGAAAGGAACUAAUUAUCAGAUGAUUGAUUACCCAAAAAAUGUUAGGACUUUGGAGUAUUUUUAUACUUUUUUAAUUGAUUUCAAAUAGAAGCAUUUUCUUCACAACUGAUAAGAUAGGAAUUUAAUUGGUUAUGUGAAACAUACAUUAAUAUGUGUAGGCAGGUAUCUCAUAUGCAAUUGUGUUAACGGUCUACAGUGUACUACUUAUGCUGUAAAUUUUGAGUUUUGGGCCUCGAUAUGGGAGAUUUAUUUAUUAUAUUGCGUAAAAAGAAUACUUACAUAAUGAAACAGGAAGAAUCAACCUUCCAGCUUAGAUACACCUUAUGCAUUACCCUAAAUCAUAUUAACUGUAAACUGUUCAACAGUAUAGUAAUUAAAUUGUGCUAUAUUUUAAACUUGGCACGUUAUUCUGUCUUAAGAGUAUAUUUGAAAUAGUGCUUUCUUUUUUAUUCUUAUUAAUUGUAGCAUUUUUUUAUGUGUUGCAAAAGGGAUUAAUAUUUAUAAUUAUUCUUUGUCAGGCCAUUUCUGUGACAGAAAGAGUAUCAGAUGAGCGAUGUGAAUCUUCACCAGGUGGUGAUGGUUCAUUGGUUGGCUAUCAAGUUCGCCUCGAGAGUGCUAGGUGCUAUCUCCUUUUAUCUUUUGCUAGUUAUAUCUGAACUCUAGUAACUAUGCAAACUGGCAGUGCUCACACUUCUGCAUUGUCUGUAUUUUCUUUUAAAAUUGUGCUCUUUAUUCUCCAGUUGGUAGACAUAUGAACCUUAGGUUGAACAAGCCACUGUUAAAUUGCAUAGGACUAUGUCGCCAACUUGCAUAUACGUCUUUCCUGUCAGAGCAAAUUUUUCUGUGCCUUCUUUUCUUCACUACUUGUAAUUGGUUUCUGUUACUUCUGUAAUUUUUUAAUCCAUGUGUUUAUGCUCUCAAAUGCAUGGACAUAUUUCUUAUGUUAAAAUCUCUGUUUUAUGUUAUCUAGGAGUGACAAGACAAAACUUCUCUUUUGUACAACUGGCAUCCUCCUUAGAAAAUUGUCGGUAAGUUUUAUUCUUUAUGAGAAAAGGCACAUCGUAAUUAUUCAAAAGAUUCCUGAAUUUCUCUUGGUUUCUGUGUUUCUCUUUCCUGUGUUAUUCAGUUUUGCAUAGUGCCAUUUGCCUGGAAUAAGGAUUAAUAGAUUUAUCGUAAUUGGUUUAGAAAUUCUUUUGAUAAACCUCAAUGGGGGGACAACCUGGGAGGAUGAUAUUGAUGAGGAUGUUAAUGCACAUAAAACUAUCAAAAAAUAAGAAUGGUACUAAUAGAUAUUAUUUAUUUAUAUGCCUGCUUAUGAUGCUCUUGUUAACAAAUAUCAUGUAACUGAUUAGAUUUUUUAUCUUAUAUUAUUGUGGUGACUCUAGCAAUUUAACUUAUCAAACUAAUUACUGAUAGAAGAAUAACUUCUAUUUUAUUUUCUUUUUUUAGUUUUAUUCAACUUUUGUAAUUAUAUGUCGUAACUUAACAUCAUUAGGACUGGCUAAGAAUUGAUGAACUUACAACUGAGACUCAACAAGCAUUUGAUAUUAUUGUAUCUAAUCAGUGCAUAGUUUUGCAAAUAGAAAACCAUGGAAGAGGGGGUGGGGUAUGGGGCUGAGUUUCUUCAUAUUCUUUAAUUAUGUUCAUGCCUAUUGUGGUUAUUUUUAUUGGAUACAGCUUGUUCUUAUUCUUCAAUUAUGCUUAUGCCUCUUAUGCUUUUGCAUGACAUUCUGAUGAAAGUGGGAGACUCAUUUGUUUUUACAGAUAUCUAUUGUACACAAUCUGUCAGAAGCCUUAUGUCCCAUUUGGAUUCAUAUUAUAAUGGUAGUUUGGUUAACAGAAUGAUGACAGAAAAAACAAAACACAUAAGCAUUACUCUUUGGAUUUCAAUGUUCGUUCUUGUCGCAUCAUAUUUAUUAACCUUGUAAUAUUUCAUCAAUUUAAAAUGUUGACAAUAGAUGCUUUUUUGGUAUUGAUUCUAAUAGGCAAACAAGAACUUGGAUGGUGUAACUCACGUCGUAGUUGAUGAAGUACAUGAACGAUCUCUUUUGGUUAGUUUUCCGAGGAUCUCUCAAAAUUUUCUUACUUGUAUGUGUUAGUUUCUUCAAGUAUCUCUCAAAUUUUUUUCCUCAGCAUGUGUUCAUACAUGUUUCUCCAAGUAUCUCGCAAAUCUUUUUCAUCAGCAUGUGUUCAUACAUGUUUCUCUUGCACCAUAUAUAUUAGAAUGUGAUAAAAUCUCACUUAGAAGAGCAUCGAUGGGUGGUAAGUAGCGGUGGCAAUGGGUGUAGUUGUCUUUAUCAUGUUAAAUUUUAAGUUCGUUUAAGAACCGUUAAUUUCAUUUUACCCCAUAUAUAACUCGUCAAGUGAGAUCUUCCUUGCAUAUGAAUUGAAAUUAAUCGUUUGAAUAAUUGAAAGAAAUUGAGAUUCACUAUUUAUGUGUUUUCAUUUACCGGAAAGAGACAUUUUCAACUGCUAAAUUACUAUUUCAUAUACUCUUAUUAUUCUAGAAGAAUAAAUAUACAUUUGCAUAUAAUCUUGAAAGGUCUCUGUUUCAGAGUGACUUCCUACUGAUCGUUCUGAAGGACCUGGUUGAGAAGCAAUCUUCUCGUGGCAUACGAAAGUUGAAAGUAGUUCUCAUGUAUGUCUAUAUUUAUUUAUUUUUGAAAUAUGGUUUUUUGAUGCAGAUAUGCUAUCUCAGUGCUCUAUCUCUUGCUGAUCAACCAUUGAUAGCCUGAUUGCUGCCUUUUCUGGUUCUUUUUCAAUGUAGGUCUGCAACUUUAGAUGCAAGUCUGUUCUCAAGGUACUUUGGUGGUUGUCCUGUAAUUAGAGCAGAAGGAAGGACACAUCCAGUUUCAACUCAUUUCCUUGAGGAUGUUUAUGAAAAACUCGAGUAUUGUCUUCCCUGGGAUUCUCCUGCAUCAGGGACAUCUCUUGCACCAAAUAGAGGAAAGGUUUGGUUUUUAUCUAUUCUUGUAUGGAUAUGAAUGUGAUGUAGUGAUGUUAUGGUUAUGUGAAAAAAAAGGGAAAAUUUUGAGUUCUCAUAUUAUAUCUAUGACAAGUAGAGGCUUAAACAAAUACAACAUUCAAUCUUAUGCUAAUUUGAAAAACAUGUUACUUAUGGGCAACAAGAUCAGUUUGAACCUGUCAUCCUAAGUCAUGUUAGAUCCAACCAUAUUGUUGCAAACCUUUUCUUCUCUUGGAGAAGGAAUGCUUGAUCCAGAUUGCAUAUUAAGUCCACGGUUACCAUGAAAUUAUAUGCUUUUUUGUAAUGCCUUUACGUUAACCAUGGUAUUGCACUCUUACUUCAUUCCACUCCUUUAUUGAAGUUUUGAGCACUGCAUUAAACUUCUCGCCACAGUUCCGAUGGCUAGUUUUUCGCAAUUCAUUUGCUAUAAGUUGAACUUCUGUGGUGACAGCGCAGUAGUGGUGCUGUGGAUAACCAUAGAGGAAAGAAGAAUCUUGUUAUGUCCUCCUGGGGUGAUGAAUCACUACUUUCUGAAGAUUAUGUUAAUCCUCAUUAUAUCCCCGAAUUAUACAACUCCUACAGUGAAAGAACACGCCAAAAUCUUGUAAGUUUGAAUUGUAUGAUGUUACUUCUUUUUUGUCAAUUUAGUACUUAAAUUUACAACCUUAUUUUCAUGCAGAAACGCUUAAAUGAAGAUGCAAUUGAUUUUGAUCUUUUGGAAGAUUUGAUAUGCUAUAUUGAUGAAAAUUGCCCUCCUGGUGCCAUUCUUGUUUUCCUUCCUGUAAGCUUUGUGGAGUAUGAGUCUACUUUUAUUAGUUGUUUCUGCCUGUAAAUUAAGCCUUGCCCUUUUUUUCUCUUUUUUAAUUUCUACUUCUGAUUUUUCCUAUAGGGAGUUUCUGAAAUUGAGUUGCUGGUUGAUAAAUUAACCGCCUUAUUCCGUUUUGGUGGAGUAUCAUCUGAUUGGAUUCUUCCUUUGCAUUCAUCACUUGCGUCAGCUGAUCAACGGAAGGCGUUUCAAUCUCCACCUGAAAACAUACGAAAGGUAGUUGUCAUAUUACUGUGCUUGGAGACAUUCUUUAGAAAAGUGGCAUAAAACAUCUUUUUAGCAUACUAAAAUGUUGCACAAGUUUCUCGGGAAGAAAAUCAAUCAUCAGAUUUGUUUUCUCACCUAUACAUAAUGACUGGGCUACCUGCUUGGGUUUUCUACUGUAUUGAGCAAUAUUUUUUUGAAAUAUAGUAUAUCCUACUUGAGAGUACUUUGUUGAUCAAGGAAACGAUUCUUUAUGCCGCAAUGCUGUCCCAGAAGUUCUGCAUUGAGUUGUUUAUUUUGGGGAAAAGUUCCUGCUAAAUGCUAAUAGUUCUUAAAUUAUAAAUCAUAUUUUCUUCCCUUUUCUAUUUUUUAUGAUACUUUUAGCUGGGAAAGCACUUCUUGGCUAAUCUUCCCGUUUAAGUGUUCUUUUUGUUCUUUCAACUGUAUUAAGUGUUCCCAUGUCAACAACUUAGUUGGUAAAUAAAGCCAAUGAAGAACUACAAAAUGGAAGACAUCUCGAUUACCUUUUCUUUAUUUAACACACAAUGUAAUCCAGUUUUGACGACCCACUGUUGUUACUCUUUUCAAUAGUUUCAAGAGUAGGUUUUCUCAAAACCAUAUUGUAGUCAACCAUCUUGGGUUAAUAUUUUGCUGUAUGCUGCAGGUAAUUGUUGCAACGGAUAUUGCAGAGACCAGCAUAACAAUUGAUGACAUAGUUUAUGUGGUUGAGAGUGGAAAGCACAAGGAGAACCGGUACAAUCCACAAAAGGUUCACAUAUUUCUUGCCAUCGUAUUCAUCAAAAUUUUCAGUUUUCAUGAUCCUUGUAGUUGGAAAUAUUUGCAAAUGUUUGUGGCUGAGGUGUUUGAUUCGUCAAACACAUUUUCACUGAUUCUAAGUUACUAAUAGGGUUAACAGCUAGUCUUCUUUUUUCUUUCUUCUCUUUUGAAGUUUGAGAAAAUAAUGAUAGUUGGAACGUAACAAAAUUUGAAUACUUGAAUCACAAUCACAUGGGUAAGUUUAUCAGGAUAUGCAGCACAAGCGUGUGUCAAUUUUCACGCUCAUGGAUUUCCAGGAUUUUUCAAUCUGAAAAUUUUACCUAGUCAUUGUUGAACCUUCAAGUUCCAGUCAGCACUUUUCAAGAAUAGCCAUAGCAUGUUAUGUAACAAGCAUCAAUUAGGCAAGUAUAUAUAACUGAUAGGUUCACUAAUCAGAUAUUGUAUCCUAAAUGUUGCAGAAAAUGUCAAGCAUAGUGGAAGAUUGGAUAUCCCGUGCAAAUGCAAAGCAGAGGCGUGGUAGAGCUGGUAGGGUGAAGCCAGGAAUCUGCUUUUGCUUGUAUACUCGCCAUCGAUUUGAAAAGCUCAUGCGCCCAUUUCAGGUAAUUAUCAUUUCGUCAUUCUAUUUCUAACAGCAUAUCUGUGUUGUAGCUCAAAGCAAGAUAUAUUUUAUCUGUGCUACCGUAGCAUUUGUUGAAACUUCCCUCGAUGCCAACGUGUAAAUAUUUGUUGAUUUUUCAGUGCUACAUACCUACCUAUGUACAACAUGACUGCAUAGUAUAUCAAUUAGCAUAUAGCUACAUGGCUGCUUCAACUCCUUUCUCUUGUGCCUAAAAAAUCUUGCUAUAUCGACUCUUCAAUCAUGUAUUUGCUUAUGUUGGCUUAUUUAAUCUCCUUUUUUUUUCACAUAUAUGCAGGUGCCUGAGAUGUUGCGGAUGCCAUUGACUGAGUUGUGUUUACAGAUAAAAUCACUUUCUUUGGGAGAUAUCAAAUCCUUUCUACUGAAGGUACGUGAUCUCUCUGUUUCUGUAUGUGUGUGUGUAAGUGUACAUGUACGCCCGUAUGGCUUCAUCUUUGUUCAUGCAUUAUGCCUGUUUCUAUUGACUUAAUUAUUAGUCGAAGCAUAGCUACGUUUCUUUAUUCUAUCAUCUUGAUGUCAGUGGUUUGUUUUUGUGACUAAUUUUGCAUCGAUAUGACACUCUACCAGGCAUUAGAACCACCACGAGAAGAAGCUAUUUCCUCUGCAAUUGACUUGUUAUAUAAGGUACUGUUUUGUUCCUUAUGACAAGUUUGCAAAAUUUAGUGCCAAUAUCCUUAUCUCACUACAAAUAGAUCUAGAAUACUCUUUUGGACUAUUGUUAGUGUUUGUGACUGAUAAGUUCAUAUUGGUGCAUUUUUUUGGUAAAUGCAUGAAAUCUCACUAGAGAAUUUACACUUUAUUUUGGUGGUUGUUGGGUUGGGGUGGUUUAGGUUGGAGCCUUUGAAGGAGGAGAAGAAUUGUCACCUCUUGGUUAUCAUUUGGCAAAACUACCUGUGGAUGUUUUGAUUGGAAAGGUAUGAUUAAAUGUUUUGACCUCCUUUUGCUUUAGACCUUUAUAUGUUUUUUCGUUUUAGAAAAUUGUUUGUCCUUGAAUGUAUUUUACAGGACUAAGUAAAUCUAGUUUAUUUUUGCGCUAUCUCAUGAUGAAGUAUGGAUUAGACAGAUUAAAAUGAGGCUUGUGUAUGUAUAUGAGUGCAAGACAGGUCUUCGCUACUUUCCAUUGACCAUUGGAAAGCCCUAAUAUGAUGACAUGAAAGUUGAGCACAGUAGAGGAAUAACUCAAUAGCUAAUUGAAGUCAUUAAUCUUUUUGAGAUUUCUAUAUCUAAGUAGACAUGUGAAGAGAGAGUCUGUGUCUAAGUUGACCCACUUUUAAUAUCCUCAUUUGCUAUAUGGGCUUGGCCGCUUGGGCUAGUCUGCAACAGACCCGGUCUCGCAGGCUUGAACCAUCCCCAGUCUAUCAGAACUUGGGGAUGAUCCAGCUGAAAUAGACUCACUGAAUUUGUUCAAAGACCUCUAUUCACAUUCAUAUGAGCUUAUAAUCAUUGAAAAAGCUUCUUUUAUAUGCAAAUGUAUUUCAUGAAAUCUAGACAUAUCUUAAACACAGAUUUUUAUCCCUAAAUUUUCUUGCAAAGUUACUUUGGUUUCGCAUUCUUCUGUAGGAAGGUUCCAUAAGUUUGUAUAGCUGUUAAGUUUUUUCUAGCAUUUUUAUUAGCCCAGUUGUACUGAAAUGUCCCCUUGGGGAUAUUGAGACCUCAAUGUGAGCAGUGAAAUGACUUUAUAUUUAGUUUUAAAUAAUUUUAAAGGGCUUUUUUUGUAUUAGCCCUUUUACAAAUAGCUCUAAUAAAUUUAUAUUUACAUAAAUAGCCUUUCCUUGCCAUAUGGGCACUUGGGUGGCCUUUUUAAGUUGAACACAGUAAUUCAAUCAUCGUGUUUAAACACGGUGAUUGGAUUACCAUAUUUCUUUUUAUAUUUUUUAUCGCCCCUUAGUUAAAAAAGAGAAAAAAGAGGGACUAGAGUGUGGAUAUGAGCAUGGUGAUUCAAUCACCGUGUUCAACUUAAAAAUGCCAACCUGUCACUUGCGUGACAAGGAAAGGGCCAUAUGCAAAUAUAAAUUUGUUAGGGUCAUUUGUCAUUUUUUCUUGAGGGGGCUAAAUGUAAAAAAACCCCAAUUUUAAAUGAUCUAAUAUUUUGUAUAUUUUCUUUCCACGUACUAAAAUUUAUUUUUGCAGAUGAUGUUGUAUGGUGCAAUAUUUGGUUGCUUAUCACCAGUUCUCUCGAUUGCAGCAUUCUUGAGUUACAAGCCUCCCUUCGUCUAUCCCAAAGAUGAGGUACUAUCUGAGAUCUCUUUGUUUGUAGCCAUUUCUUCACUCGAAUUGGCUUAACUUGUGUAUGUUUGUGAUGCAGAAACAAAAUGUAGAGAAAGCAAAACAAACUUUAUUAAAUAGCAGCCUGGAUGGAACUGCUUCCAAUGUGGACAAUAAACAGUCAGACCACCUGCUAAUGGUUGUUGCCUACAAUAAGUGGGCCAGGAUUUUGCACGAGGUUAGAGUUAUUUUGUCAAUUUUUAUUGAAACACUAGAACAGUUCUUUUCUGCAGAUAGAUCUUAUGUUAGAUUUUAUUAACAUCAUCAAAAUCUGCUUACACUAUCUUUAUGGUAAUAAUUAAUCUUUUCUAUAUUUUUAUACUAUUGCAGAAUGGUUCAAAAGCUGCUCAGCAACUUUGCCGGUCAUUCUUUUUGAACAGUUCAGUUAUGUAUACUAUCAGGUGAGUUAUUUCCUUUGACUGCAUCAUGUCAUUCAUUGAAGCUGUAAUCUAUUCCUUACAGCAUUAUUAUACUAUGUAAUUAGGAAUCUUUUAACUCGUUGUUACAUGAAAUGUUAGCAAGUGGAAUAAAGGUGCAUUAUAGUAAUUUUGAGUGCCUCGAUGUUACAACUUGGAUAUUUGAGAUAAAUUGGGGAAAUAUUAUUUUUCUAUCAGUUUACUGUGCUCUAACCCCGUUUCACUUGGCAGGGAUAUGCGUAUACAACUUGGAAGUUUAUUAGCAGACAUUGGGCUCGUUGAUCUCCCGAAAGUUAUUUUGGUAUUGAUUUUACUACCAAAGUUGAUCUUUUUUCGUUUCUAGCAAUGUAUCCUUCAGCCGUUUCAUAUUCAUGUUUUCCAUUUGCUUUGAUUCUUCACAUGUAUUUGAGUUAUAUCAACAAAAUGUUAGUAUUAUUGGGUGUCGGUGGUGGAUUUUGAGGUCAAGAAUAAUUUUUUUUUCUUUUUUCCAAUGUUCACUCUGGUUUGUAGAAGUGAGGCUAAUAUUUGAUGCUUCCAUCACAACAUAUCAGAGCUGGCUUCAUUAUCUUCCUCACAGUAGUCGGGAUAAGAUUUUAGAUUAAUACGAAGGUUUAACUACAAUUGCAUAAAAGGAUUUUAAUUUUGUUAACACUGCAUGAUUUUUAAAAUUUUCAUUUAGGGUAGAGUUGUGUAAAAUUAUUUUUUUUCCCCCUCUGACACAGAGUGCUGGGAAAAGGAAGGACAAACUUGACGGUUGGUUUGCUGAUGCCUCUCAGUCAUUCAAUAUGCAUGCACAUCAUUCUUCAGUUAUUAAGGUAAUUUUUUGUUGGUUUUGACUCAAUGCGCAUAAACAUUGUGUGUUUCACAUAAUGUUUGCGAUCUAUUUCAAGUGUGAGGUUUUGAACCACUUAUUUCUUUGCACUUGUGGAUGUUCCUAACUGUUUUUGUGUGCAGUCGAUUAUAUGUGCAGGCCUAUAUCCCAAUGUUGCUGCAACUAUAGAAGGUAUUGACAGGUCUUCUUUAGGUGGAAAUAAAGCUCUUUUUGAUUCCCUUUCGGUGAAAGACCGGCCGCUUUGGUACGAUGGAAAAAGAGAAGUUCACAUACAUCCUUCUUCCGUAAACCAUAGCUUGAAAAGUGCUCGGUAUCCAUUUCUUGUCUUCCUUGAGAAGGUAAAACUUUUAGGUUGUCGCUAAAAACUUGAUAAAAUUUAAACAAGAUGAGGUUUUUAUUAUUACAAAUAACUUUCAUUUUGCAGGUUGAGACUACCAAGAUAUUUUUACGAGAUACUAGCAUCAUCUCUCCUUACGCCAUUCUUCUGUUCGGUGGUUCCAUGGUUGUCCAACAUCAGGUGAUGUCUCUUUGGCAAUAUUAAUUCAGUGUUCGAUUAGCAUAUGUUGCAUUCUUCUCAUGUUCGAGAGAAUAUAUAGCAUUCUUGUUAGAGCAUGUUUUUUCAAGAGAAAAAUCUAAGUUACAAUUAAAUUUUUCUGAGCUUUUUCUUUUCCAUUGGAAUGUAUUACCCUUUUUUUCUCCUUGUGAGAAUGUUGGAUAUGGGAGCAAGUUUUGCACCUUUGAUGUCGUAGAAAAGCUAAGAAUCAUGAGCUAUAUCACUUUUACAGGCUGCAUCGGUCAUGAUAGACGGCUGGAUAAAGUUGACAGCCCCUGCACAGGUUGCUGUUUUGUUCAAAGAACUCCGCAGAACGCUCGAUGCCGUUCUCAAAGAAUUGAUCAAAAAGCCUGAGGUAGUAUUAUAUUCAUUCUUCAUCCGUUUUAAUUAAUAUGUUAAUUUGACCUAAGACGCCAUAUAAUUCUCCCGUUCCAGACGUCCACGUUCGUCAACAACGAAGUCGUGAACUCCAUUGUUUAUUUGUUGCUAGAGGAAGAGAAAUCUCAAGCUUGAGAUAUUCUUAUGCUCCACACAGCUUUGACAACCAAAAAAGCCGAUGUAAGGUGAGUCCGAAGAUGCUAACAGCAGAAACAACAAGUCGCUUCUACGGUAUCGUCUAUGCACAGCUUAAAAUAUUCAACUUGUGUGGUCAACGAAUAUAUGCUGCAUUUCCUGUUAUCUUACCUACUCUAGUCGAUUAUUUUGAAGUCUAUUUUUACUGCAGCAAACAUUUCUUUUUCUUUUUCUUUUUCUUUUUUUUUUUGUUUUAGGGGAUUUUAAUCAAAAUGCUGAUGCUUUUUCCAACAGAUUACUGCCUUAUGUGAACACCUGUUCUCAGAAACUGCUACUCAUGUCUCGUCACUCGUGAGGUGUAGAAUAGGUAAUCACAGGGGAAUUUCACAGCCUCUUUUAUUUGUUCAAACAUUCUCGUAUUAGUUCCCCAUACCCUGGUUGUAGCAAUUUCAUACAAAAAGCUAAAUUGGAGAGAUUAAGCAAUACCAUGUGGUAUGAAAACAAACAACAGGGUUUUUGGACCUGUGUGAAAGGAAUCCGGAAUUCCCAAUGAAACAUGCCGCCACAGCAAUUUGGCAACCAACUUUUUUGUUCUUUACCCCGGGAGGAUUUUUUUUUUUCUCUUUUAUUAAGAAAAGUGGUCCUAGUUGUAGAAAGUUUGGACGAUGGAUGAGAACAAAGAUCUUAUUAGGGUAAAAACUUACAGGUCGUUCCUGCAUUGUUCUAAUAUUGUACCUUAGUCCGAGUACCUUUUGCUGCAUAUUAUUAGUUCUUCAACUUCCGCAUAUAUUACAUUUAGUCGAAAACAUGUUUUUAUAGUCUAAUCAUUUUAUUUCUAUCUAUCAAUAAGCAGUUAAUUUUAAUUUGUUUUGUAACGAAGCUACAAGAAUUAAGAUAUUUAAAUAGAAAAAGAGGGGCUCUUUUUGCAUUUAGUUUUUUUACAUUUUUUUUUUUUUUUGUAAUAGCUCUAUAAAAUUUAUAUUUACAAAAUUAGUUCUAUUUCUGUCAUGUGAGCACCACACAAAUGCCAUAUUCGGCGUGGAGUUUAAGUUUAAGACAACAAAUCAUUCACCGUAUUUGAAUGAGUUGUUCUCCGUGUUUAAGCGUUAUGUAUAACUCCUCUCCGCGAUCUCUCUUCCCCUCUCUCUCCCCGAGCUUUUUCCAUCUCACUCUCUCUCUCUCUCCAACCACCCCCCCCCCGAGCUCUCUACCGCUGCUGCUCGCCACAUACGCUACAUCCUCUCUCCUCGGACAAUAUGCCUCCUCUGCCGCCCUCCACGACCUCGGAGUUCUCAUGGGAUAUUCUACCAUCACCACACCUUUAUGGUAGAAAAAUACAGUAAAUGUUUAAACAUGAUGAGUAGAUUCAUCGUAUUCAAUUUAAACUCUUCUUUUAAUAUAAAACUUGUGUAACGUUCACGUGACAGAGAUAGAGUCAGUUUUAUAUUUAUAAAUUUUACGAGACUAUUUGUAAAAAAAAUUGUUAAGGAGCUAAAUACUAAAAAAAAACCCGGAAAACAGAUAUAUAAGGACCAAAUUGCACUAUUCGGGCAGUCUAGGGACUACCCAUGCAUUUUUUUUUAUCUAUUAUUUAUUAAUUUUGAGCAUCUCUCUCUUUCCGAGAAGAGGAGAGAGCAUAGAAAGAAGGGAAUCAUUUGGGGUGGUGGGAUCGGGUGCUUCUAGAAAGCGGGACAAGGCGACAAGAAGAUCCGCGUGUCGCCGCGACGGAUCAAUCAAUCAAUCGCUCGCCCUGAUGAUGCCUCCGCGCUCUUUCCUCCCCCCACCCCCUCUUAUCCCGCUCUCCUUUGUCCGCUCCCUCAAAUGAUACCUUUUUAGUUCCUUUUUGUUUUUGACCUUUUGGAGCCCAUCCCAUUUCAUUCUCAUUCCAUCCCAUUCCAUUCCUUUUAAUCCCACAACAACUAUUGUUACCACACGUGUCUAAUCUUUAUUAAUAUUCAAUAUUUUUUAAGAAAGCAAUAAUAAUAUAUUCUUUUACCUUAUUUAAAAAUUAAAAAUAAAUAUAGUCUGUACCUCAAAAAGAAACUUACUAUCUGUCUAAAAAAAUCUAAAUUGGUAGAUAUAAUUUGCAAUAUUUGAAAAGUAUUUAUAUAUGAAGGUUACAUAUUUUGAAAUUUUAUUAUAUAUCUACGUCAAGUAGUCUGAAAAAUUAACUUUGUUGAUUUAUAAGUAAGUAAUUGGUGUUGGAAAUACAGAAUUACGUACAUAUAUUUUGAGGCCUACGUGAUGGGUGUCAUAGGUAUUAGAGGUCCAUGCAGUACAUGAUAGGUAUAUAUAUAUAUAUACUUGUGUACACCUCUCUCUCUCCUCGCCAAAAUGCCCCUGGUGCAACGACAUCCAUGUAUACGUAAGAGUUGAACACUCAACGCACAAAACAAAGAGAGAGGACAACUCCACCGUCCCAGCGUACCCCGGAAUCCAAGAGGAGAAGAAAAUUCAUAUAUAAGCCGUAUUAUUUAUUAAUUAUUAUUUUUAAUUUAAGGUAAACUUUAAAUACCAUCUAUGCAGUUUCUCACUUUAGCAUUAUGUGAUUUAGGAUGUAUCAAUUUAGUACCCAAUGGUUUUAUUUUUCUCUUUUUGUCAGCCUCUUUGUUAUAACUUUUCGUUAAAUCAUACACAAAAAACUUCAGGUACCCUAUUUAUAAUUUAUUGAAUAUUUAUGUAGGAAACUUUAUGAGAAACUAGAUCGUACCUUCUGUCAUGAUUUUGAUUUGUGUACCCGAUUUGUAGCGGCGAUCUUUGCUCGUGGUUCGUUCUCAUUCGCGAUCUGCAAAGUAGCGGGAUGUUUCAGAGUCUAAUUUCCUUAUCCUGGAGAUGGAGCCAUUACAGACAAUUCGAUUAGGGUUAGACCGGGACUCCCGUAUGUUACAUAUUUAUAUAUAACUUAAUGUAAGAAUGUUAAAUCACGUCCGUCCAUCAAGAACGUGUCUAGAUACAUCCUAACCAUAAGAUCUAUCGUAUCUUUAUAGAUCGACUUAAAUAGAUUGACUGUAUCUUUAUGGAUCGCCUUGAAUAUAUCACGUGGGCCACAUCCAACAAUUUACUCUACUACCCUUUAGUUUUAACAUUGUCACUGAUUUAAUAAAAAUAAUUAGCAAAAAGGAUAAUAAAACGAAAAAAAUAAAACCACAGGGUACGAAAGUGAUACACUUUAAAUCAUAGAAUACUAAAGUGAAAAAUGUGAGACCACACAAUGGUAUUUGAACUUUUCCCUUAAAUAUAUAUAUAUAUAGAGAGAGAGAGAGAAAGAGAGAGAGAGAGAGAUAUGUAUAGAAACAUCUUUUGGAAAAGAAGAUACCUUCCACCUAAUGUUCCUUUACUAUAGUCUAUAAAUAUGCUUCAGGGAACCCAAAGCCAACUCCUCCCUCCCCUUCUCUCUCUCUCUCUCUCUCUCUCUCUCUCUCUCUCUCUCUCUCCUCACAGGGGGAAUUUAAUUUCCUCCUAUUUUUGGUGUUGGUGAGUUAUAGAAAUUGAUAGAUAGAUAGAUAGACAGACAGAUAGGCGUGACAAAUAUGAAUGAAGGGGCUGGAGAGGAGCUUCUGAGCCUAAGCUUAGGCCUCAAUAGCUCAUGGUGCACAAACACAACAAAGAUGAAGAGAAAGGCAAAAGAUGAUCAUGAAUAUUCGAACCCAGCAUGCAACGUUACCACCAUGCAAGAUGUAGAAGACAACAAGUUCUUCAACUUACUCCACAUGAGGGAUCAAAUGCUAAAACAUGACCCCAAGAGAUCAAAUGGGGCGCUAGAAGGUACUACAAAUGGCCUACAACUCAUUCAUCUGCUUCUAUUCGCCGCGACCGCGAUCAACAAAAACAACACGAGUUCCGCCGUCGACGCUUUGCAUGAGAUCUACAAGAAUGCUUCUUUCCAUGGCGAUUCGAUACAACGAGUCGUGGCCUACUUCGCCGAUGCCUUAUCCGUGAGAAUUCCCUCUCCGAGAUCUCCACUUUACCACUCUAUCGUAGUUUCUCCGACGCCCGAAGAGGAGUUCUCCGCGUUCACCGAGUUCUACCGAGCUUCGCCGUACUACCAAUUCGCGCACUUCACGGCGAACCAAGCGAUAGUCGAGGCAUUCGAGAACGAAGAGAAGCGCAACGGAGGUCGAAUUCACGUUAUCGAUUUCGACGUAUCAUAUGGCUUCCAAUGGCCCUCUUUGAUCCAAUCUUUAUCCGAUAAGGCCAGUAGUAGCAAACCGAUCUCUCUUCGCAUAACAGGGUUCGGAAGAAGCGUCGACGAGCUCGAAGAAACCGAAAUGAGGUUGGUUAACUUCGCGAGCGGUUGCAAUAACUUGUUCUUCAAAUUUGAGGGGAUUUUGAGAGGUUCUUCGACAUGCAAUGAUAUUAGGAUUGAGAAGUACUCGACUCUCGUGGUAAACUUAGUGUUCUAUCUCCAAAAACUAAGUAGCUCUAACGAGAUGCAUGAUACAUUGGCUACUAUACACUCAUUGCACCCAUCUUUGGUUGUGUUAAUAGAGAGGGAAGGUAACCAAAGCCCGCGAAGCUUCGUAUCGCGAUUCAUGGAGUCUUUGCAUUACUACGCCGCCAUGUUCGACUCGUUAAACGAGUGCCUCCCACCGGAGAGCGUCGAGAGGCUCAGCAUUGAGAAGAACCAUUUGGGCAGAGAGAUAAAGUGUGGUAUGGAUCAAGAGGAUGGAGAAGGGCACUUUAAGGUGGAGAGUUUGAAACAAAGGAUGGAGAGAGUAGGGUUUGAAGAGAUGAAGCUAAGUUCAAGAACAGUGAGCCAAGCAAAGCUACUACUGAAGAUCAAAAGCCAUGGUUCAACAAUGGGGUGUGGUUCUAAUUGUGGGGGAUUUAGGGUUUUGGUGAGAGAUGAAGGGAGAGAGAUAUCUCUAGGGUGGCAAGAGAGGCUUCUAAUAACAGCUUCUGGGUGGAGUUGCAGGGAGUGAUUAAUUGGAGUUUAAUUAAUUACUUAUUUAUUUGUUAAAUGCUUUUUUUGAUAUCUUGAAUAUUUGUGAUAUAUCUUUUUUUUUAUUUCUUGUAAUUUAACCACUUUGAUGUAGUAUAUAUUGAGGUUCCUUUGUAGAAUAUUAUAGUGUAAUGUUUAAGCAAUUUUCUCAUAUGUGACAUAAUAAAGAAUGGAUUGCUUAAUUUGUGUUAACUUUGCUUGAAAAAAAUAGUAUUUGAGAAGCAUAUCUGUAUUACAUCCUAGCUGCAUUGGUUUUUUUUUUUUCUGAGUGUUAAUAAACUUUUAAUACUAAUUUUUAGCAAUUUCAUAUUAGAUUGAUUUAAUAGGUAAUAUAUAUUGCAUUAAACUUAGUACUAUAAAGCCGCUCUAUGAUCCAUAUUUGAUACUUCAAGUUUAUAUGUUAGGGCAAUAUUAAGACUAUUUCUAAAUUAUUUCCUACUGAAUCAAUCAAUCUCAUAUAUAUAUAUAUAUAUAGAGAGAGAGAGAGAGAGAGUAGGGCUACUAUAUUCUUUAUAAGUAUAGAGCCUUUCGUACUCAUAAGUUGUUUUCAAUGAUAAAGCUUCUGAAUUAAUCAACAAUUCAUAUCGUCAAAUAUGAUCUAAAGUAUUUAAAACUUAUAGAAAAUAAAUUUCGUAAUUUUUUAAAAUCAUAAUAAAAUCCAUUAAGUAAGCAUAAAAUAAAAAGUCAGAAUCAAACGAUGUCUUAAAAAUGGAUAUUAGGAUACUUCAAUUUAUGAUCANACUAUAUUCUUUAUAAGUAUAGAGCCUUUCGUACUCAUAAGUUGUUUUCAAUGAUAAAGCUUCUGAAUUAAUCAACAAUUCAUAUCGUCAAAUAUGAUUUAACAGUUGAUAUUAGGAUACUUCAAUUUAUGAUCAGAGUUAUUGAUCUUUAUCUAGAUAGUGAAUAUAGUUUUCUAUAAAAAAUUCAACCGAUUUUGAUUCUUUAACACAGUUAAACUAGCAAGUAUCUUAUAUCAACUGUUAAAAACUAUCAAUUUUAAGAUUUUUUUAAUCGUAAGGUAAAUGAUAUCAAAAAAAUAAUAAAAUUUGAUUUUUAGAAGUUCUAAAUGCUCUAGAUAAUGUUUAACUUAUAACCGAAAAUAACUUAUAAGUACGAAGGCAGGGGAAUCUCUCUCUCUAUAUAUGUAACAAUAACUACCUCAACAUUUUCCAUCACAAUUAACAAGUGCCAUCAUUAUAUAAAUUUACUAAUUAUAAACUAAACUAUUAAAGAAAUUGACUUGGCACGUGCCACACAAUCUAACAUAGAGUCAAGCAACCAAUAUUGAUCUCCUAAACAUGAAAUUAAUAUAUAAUAUUUUACUAAGACUUGGUCAAAUAUUUCAUAUUAAUCCCAAUAAGGGAAUAUAUAUAACUUGCUAUGCAUGAAGAUGCUUUAUGCAUAUAUCCCCUAUCUAUUUCUCCUCUCCGACAUUCUAUUAUUUUAAAAUUUCUUUUUUUUUAAAAAAAUAAAGUUGAUUUUGAAUUGUCAAUUCAAGUGGGUCACCAAAAUGUUAGGUUUCACCUAACCAAGAUUUCCAAGGAUACCAAUGUAGAAAUUCAAGAGGGCAUCUUCAUGUAUAUAUUUUAUAUGAAAUAUUAUUCUAAGUGUGCGGCUAAUGGAAUCUAUCUCCUAUAUAUGUUGGUUUCUUGUAACAUGUAUUAAUUAUAGGUUUUCAAAGUAGGGUUAGUAAACUUUUUUUUGUUCUUAAUAAAGUUUCGGAUUUUUAGUGGUCCACUGUAUAAAAGUUUGGAUUUUUCUUCUUGUCAUUAAAGAGUGUAAAUAUUAUAUAAUUGAAUUCAACAAAGUUUAGAUGAAGGAACCAAUGCUCCAACACAACAAGUCAAUGAAGAAUAUUUCUCGUGGCAAUAAUAUUAGAAAAUGUGGGUAUAUUUGCAUCUGAUCAAAAGAAAGAAAAUGUUGGCAUAUUUAAGAGCCUUUGUGUUAUAAGAAAAUAUUAAGAAUAUUAAGAACCUGAGGUACUGAGAUCGAAUUUCAUCAAGCUCCUAAUAUUAUUUAAUCUUCUUUUAUCUAAUUCAUGCUUACGUCUUGGAUUUAUCAAAAAAUCUCGAACACAAACGUGAGUGGAGCGAUAGAUACAAAUAUUAAGAACAUUGUUCCUUGGUUGCUUAAGAUAUUGGAGAACAUAUCGGUUGUUUUACGUUAUUUAACACUUUGUUGCAUUUUGGAGCUUCGAUCUAUAAAAGUGUUAUUUAAAUAGAACUAUUCGAAAAAAAAAAUUAUUAUAAUGUUUUCUUUAAAAUAUUUGAUGGUUUCUCAUGCAAUAAAAACUUUAAAUUUUGUUUGUCAAACACCUGCCUAACUAAUUAAAACACGCCAAAAGGCGCUAAAACAAAGUGGAUGUUAUAUUAAGAUAGAAAUUCCACUCAAAUUAAUCAAGGUAUCUAACCUAAUUAAGUUCAAAGGAAACGUUUGAAACUUUCUUGGCUUUUUGCGUAUCUCAUGAAAAAGAUUGUUCAAGAAAAGGCUUUGAAUUCCUUGUUCAAAUGUUUACUAUAUAUGGGAAAAAAAGGAUUUAUUUGAACAACAAGUUCUAUGUCCUAUGACCAAUCUCAAUUUCGUUUUCUAAAUUGUUCUACAUAUAUUGUUUAGGUCAAAAGAUUCUCAUGCAUGUUGGACAAAACAAAUUAAAUACAUUAAUUAAUCAAUGAGCCCUAUGUCACAUUCCAUUACUCCUCCAAAAAGUUGAUAGUAGGAGGAUUUGGUAUUAGAAUUUGGAAGCAAAAAAAUAAUAAUAUCUUUUAGCCGGCUAAUCUUUACUUGGAUAUAUGGACAUGAUCGAUUUUAAUAUUUUUAAUUGAUGUUUUGGUACUAUGGUAUAUAUAUUCCACCAAACACUUUAAAAAUUAAAUACCAAUCUUUGAACCGAAGUACCAAAAUGGUACUUAUCUAGUUAACAAGUGAUCAAUAUAUAUAUAUAUAUAUAUAUAUAUAUAUAUAUAGAGAGAGAGAGAGAGAGAGAGAGAGAGAGAGAGAGAGAGUGAGUGAGGCUACUAUGCUAUCGGAAGCACGGAGCGUNNNNNNNNNNNNNNNNNNNNNNNNNNNNNNNNNNNNNNNNNNNNNAUAUAUAUAUAGAGAGAGAGAGAGAGAGAGAGAGAGAGAGAGAGAGAGAGAGUGAGUGAGGCUACUAUGCUAUCGGAAGCACGGAGCGUUCCGUACUUUUAGCUCGUUUUCGAUGUUGCGACUUUUGAAUCGUCGAUCGGCUCCGUUAAACUUGAUCUAGAGUAUUUGAAGUACCUAGAAAAUAAAUUAUGCAAUUUUUCGGUAUUAUUUACCUAGUGAACCAAGGGGCUCAAAAUCAACGGUUAAAAAUAAAAAUCUUACAAAACGUGAUAAUAUGACAUUAAAGUUUUAGAUCAAAGAUAUUGAUCUCGUUUUAUAUAGUAUAAAGAAUUUUCUAUCAAAAUUUCAGGCGAUUUGGAUAUUUCUACACCAUUAAACUUGCAAACGGCUCACUACGGCCAUUAAAAUUAUUGAUUUUGAGCCCCUUCGAUCACUAGGCAAAUGAUAUCGAAAAAUCAUAAAAUUUAUUUUCUAGGUACUUCAAAUACUCUAGAUCAAGUUUAACGGAGCCGAUCGACGAUUCGAAAGUCGCAACAUCGAAAACGAGCUGGAAGCACGGAAGGCUCCGUGCUUCCGAUAGCAUAGUAGCCUUACUCUAUAUAUAUAUAUAUAUAUAUAUAUAUAUAUANNNNNNNNNNNNNNNNNNAUAUAUAUAUAUAUAUAUAUAUAGAGUUGGACUGGGCUACUAUUAGUAGCAAAAUCUCAUUGUUACUACCAGUUUUUUAGCCUUUGGAUCAACUCUUUUCAUUAUUUCUAACCAUUGGAUUAAAUACUAUAACCCAGUAGGGACCACUCAACCCUAGGGGGACCACUCAACUCUAACCAACUAAUAUCAUCCCGACCCUACAAUUUUUCAUCCAAGGGUUAAAAACUUGAUAGCAAAAAGAGCGUUUUAGUAUUAAUAGUAUUCCAGUCUAAUUCUAUAUAUAUAUAUAUAUAUAUAUAUAUAUUUUUGUGAACUGAGCCAGCUCAGUGCCUACUAGACUAAGAGUCAAGACUAUUAAAAGAUGGGCCUUUGAAAGAUACAACGGGCCUCUGGAAAUUCUCUCUCUCUCUCUCUCUCUCUCUCUAGAAAAUAUAAUUUUUCCAAGGUUACAGAGGGUUUUUAGAAAAGCAAACCUCAAAUAAUAGCAUAACAUGCUUGCGAAUCAAAGGCGUUAAUUAUUAAUUUUAAAAACUCAAGCGGUUAAAAAGGACGCAAUUCAUUCACUUAGAAUGCAUAGACACAUAGACCGACUCUUUAAGACAAUAGUUUCCUCGCGACAUCUGAACCUAUAAGCAGCAUGCAAAGAUCGAAUCUACGUCACCAUCUCAUCCUGUUAGAAUAGAUGCAACACAUUCAUUUGAAGUACAUAAAUAUAUAUACAACGCCUCACAGGCUUCGAUUGUGAUUCGGUCCAAUCUAACAUUCGUUACAAGAUAGAAUGCUGAUUCAUUUAAGCUAACAAUCCAAGCAUAAUUUUCUUACCUCUCAUACCAGCAUAUGCAGAUAUUUGUGUGUUAGCAUUGCAUCAAUGUGUAAACUUUUGGACCACCCACAUCAAGCCCACCAAGGGAUCCAAUUUUAGCCUUCUAUUUAUUCCUAAAUAUCUAUGCCCCAUGUUAUAUAAAAUAUACACAGCAAACAAUUCUCACAUAAAAUGAGUAAGGGGCGCAUUUGAUACGGCGUAAAAUGAGUCAAAAAUUUAUUUUCAGUAUGAAAAAUAUUUUCGUGCUUAUUUGAUUCGACAUAAAAAUAAUUUUUUGUAAAAAUUUUAUUUAGGAAUUUGAAAAAAAAAUAAAAUUUUCGUCUUUCACUAUUUUUCAAUAAAGAAUGAAAAUUCAAACUGUAUAAAAUUUUUUAUUCAUUUUUCCUAUCAAACCAAAUAAAUAUAAAUUUUUUUUCUUUCAAUCAAAUAAAUAUUAAUAAAAAAUUAAUUUUUUCAAUUAAAUAUUUAUAAAAUUUUAAAAAAAACUUUUUUUUUUUUUUUUUUGUACGUUCAACCAAACGGAUACUAAACCAUUAUAUUUUUUAACUAAUCCCGAAGAAGAUAUAACACAAUUGAAAUGCACUCUAACAAAAGCACUACAAAACCACUCUCCACGCCUACACCUCUCUCUCUCUCUCUCUCUCUCUCUCAUCACCUCCACCACCAACAUUAAUGGCGCUCCUCCCCCUGCACCUUCUCCUCCCCCUCCCUCUCUCCCCUCUCCGCCCCCCAAAACUCCACCUUCACCGCCCCGCGAAGCUCCGCACCAUCAGAUCCCUCGCCGGAACCCUAGACGGGGCCUCGCCGGAGAAGCCGCGGAGGUGGGAGAGGGCGCUCUCCGCGGCGGCGAGCCUCUACCCGGUCUACGUCACCCUCGGCGGCGCAGCCGCGUGCGCGAACCCGGGGGCCUUCACGUGGUUCGUGCAGCGGGGCCCCGCGUCGUAUAGCUUCGCUCUAGGGUUCAUAAUGCUCGCCAUGGGCCUAACCCUAGAGCUCAGGGACCUCCUAGGUCUCUUCCGCAAGAGGCCCUUCUCUGUGAGUUUCAUGAGAAUUUCGCAAAUAAAUUUCUUUUUUUUUUAUUCAAUUUGCAUGUUUUCUUAAUGGCUUCUUUUUUCGUAAUAUUGAGCUUAUUGCAACCACAUUUUGAAUGGAAUUGAGUUUGUGGGGAUUGAAAUGUUAUAUAAUUCAAGGCCUUUGAUGUUAUUAAGUAGGGAUAGUUGUCUAUAUACCCCUCAUACCCCUCGUACGUUUAAAAAAUAUCCGAUUUAUCUUUAAUUUUUUUUUUUCUAAAAUACCUCUCAUAUGUUCCACCGUUAUUGCAAAAUACUCUUGCAGGUAUCUCCUGUUAAGUUAACUUGGGUUCAAUGUGAGUUAAAUAACUACCACAGUUAAAAAAAAUAAAAUGCAAAUUUUGUCCUUAACUUAAGGGCAAAUAAAAAAUGUUGGUGACGGUAGAGGGGUAUAUUGGAAAAGACUAAAAGUCAAAAUACUUUUUGUGCCCCUGACUUUAAAGGCAAAUAAAAAAAUCGGUGAUGAUGGAAGGGUAUAUUUGAAAGGGCAAAAUAGUAAUUUUACAGAGAUAACAGUGUUCAUUAAUAGAUUUUAACUCUAGGGGUAUAUUAGAAAUAGGUUGGAAUAUAAAAAAAGGUAUUUUCAAUAUUAGCCUUCUAAGAGGGGUAAAUCGGAAAGUCGAGAACUUUUCAGGGGUAUAUAAGCAAUUACCUCUAUUAAGUAUUAGCACAACUACUUUUACUAUUCACAAGGAGAUUUAUCGAACUUAGCCACUAUUCAACAAUUAAAUUUGAUCACAUUCAAUAAAUUUGAUCUGUAUACGGGCGCCACUACCUCAGUAUCACACCUCUCUUUUUUCCUCAGUUUUUGGGUUGUGUUAUUAAUGCGGUGACAAAGAUAUUCAAUGAACCUGAUCAUUAAUUCUUUGUAAACUACAUUUGACCACUCUACAAAUAUUUUUAAAAAAGGCAAAAAAAAUUGACCAGAUUUAAUGAAUCUGAGUUGUAGUUCUGAUCAUUAAUUCUUUGUAAACUACAUUUGACCACUACAAAUAUUUUUAAAAAAGGCAAAAAAAAUUGACCAGAUUUAAUGAAUCUGAGUUGUAGUUCUUUUGUUCGUUUUGUAAUGUUCUCAGAUAUUGUUCGGUUGCGUUGCUCAGUACACAAUAAUGCCAGCUUUCGGAGCUAUAGUUAGCAAAGCACUUAAUCUCCCCCCCUCGCUCUCGGUUGGUCUCAUUCUUCUAGCAUGCUGUCCUGGUGGAACUGCAUCUAAUGUGGUAAAAUAUGUGCAAAUUUCGUAUCUUAUUAUGCUUUCGUACUUAUUUAAAUCAUUUUUAGUUCAUAGUUAAUCUCCUAUUAUCGACAUGAUACUUUGUGGUCCUAACUCCUUUUAAAGAGUCACUUUUGGUCCCUGAGGAUAGUCCAUUUGAUAACGACUUAUGAAAUGCUGAAUUGCUUUGAUUUGUCUAUGAGCGGUUCAUGUUUUUCAUCUCAAAUCUAGAAGAGGACAAUUGAUCAUGGUUGACGUGGUCCAAUGAAUUGAUAUUGAUAUUUAAAAAGAUCUCAGAGAUGAGAGUAUCGCUUUAUGUGACUGAGAAGGUUCCAAAAGUAUAGCUGGAGAGUUGGCAUGUCCUUUUUGUCAGUUAGUGAGUGAUUUAGCUUUUCAAAGUUGAUGCAUGUACAUAUCAGGUUUCGUGAUUCAAAUUUUUAAAAAAACUCAAUCAAUCAUUAGCUGCCACCUCUGCAGCGUCAUCCAGGGACAUGACCCAUUUAUUCAUCCAUAAAUCCUACCAAGACAUUGUGAUCUUCAGUUCAUUUGUCUAUUUGAAUCGGUUAAUAUUUCCUUUUCAUGGAUCAAUAGUGUUUAUAUACUAGCAAGGUAUCUUAAGAGUUAAGAAUGGUAGUGUAGUAGCAAAAGCUAAUUCAAGAGAAAAGAAGAGCAAAUAUUUCUAUUCCAAGAAGAUAAAAAAGCAGAUAACACCAUCAAGAUUGAGAGAAUAUGUUCAGUUGUAAUCCCCACAUCAAACCCCGUUACUUCUUGCUUGAUUGCACUAGACAAAAGCAGUUUAAAAUGGCUAAUAUAAAUGAAAGCUUACUCUACUAGCUAAUAAUAUGCAUUCUUUAACUUUUGACUCCUCCCGCCUUAUUAGUUUCUCUCUAAUAGUGUUUCAGGUGACUUUGAUCGCCCAAGGUGACGUGCCGUUAUCAAUUGUAAUGACUGUGUGCACCACUCUAACUGCAGUCGUUCUCACCCCUCUGCUAACAAAAAUUCUCGCUGGAGCCUAUGUCCCUGUGGAUGCCGUGAAGCUCUCCUUAAGUACUCUUCAGGUCAAAUUAUCUCCUUUUUACUCCUCAUUCAUCUCGCCUUCUCUUUAUUUUCUUCAUCUAAAUUCCUUCUUUUUCUUCUUGUAGAUAGUCGUUGCUCCGAUUUUAUUGGGCUCUUACAUGCAAAGCACAUUUCCAGCCGCCGUAAAAGUCGUCACCCCCUUUGCUCCCCUUCUUGCUGUAUUAGUUUCCUCACUACUUGCGAGCAGGUCCAAAGUUCACAGUAAAGUUUUGCACUUAUUUUUUUUACUUCUUUUGCUUUCAAAAUCAACUCUAUUUUCUUUAAAUGGUGUAGUGUGUUCUCCGAAAACGUUGCUCGUUUGAAGACAUCAUUAGCAGACACACCCUACGCCUCUGAUCAAGGCGCAAUUUUUGGAGAUCUGAAGACGGUCAUAUUGUCGGUCCUCUUGCUGCAUCUCGCUGGCUUUUUCGUCGGGUACAUUAAUAUAUUGAAAUUGUUUUACAUAUAGUAUUCGCGAGCGAAUAUGCUCUAACAUUGGAUGCUUUAUUCGCAGAUAUCUAUCGGCAGCGAUAUGUGGUUUCAAAGAAAGACAGCGAAGAGCAAUUUCAAUUGAGGUAUUCGCCGCUUAUUCUUGUAGUAACCCAUUUACCGCAAAUCGAGGAAUGGUGAAAUUCAAUACCAUUUAUUCCGACUUAUGUUAAUGGACACAUAAUCAACUAUGUACAGCUAUUUCAUAUUUAUUCACGCAUGUAUGGAUCAAAUCAUGAUUGUGUCGAUGUGAUUACAAGUUCAUCUGUUUUGUUCAGGUCGGCAUGCAAAAUUCGUCACUUGGUGUAGUUCUAGCAACUGCUCAUUUUUCGUCUCCGCUGGUAGCUUUGCCCGCAGCUCUCUCGGCUAUAAUUAUGAAUAUCAUGGGUAGUUCGCUGGGCUUCGUGUGGAGAUACGUCGAUCCAUCCGAUCCAUCCGAUACCAGGAACGAAUCCUAGUCCUUCGAUAGGACUCUUUUUGUUUUUAUUUUUAUUUUUUUUCGACUGUUCUAUGCAGUUAACAAUGUUAUAAAGCUGUGUAUAUCUUGGACCUUUUAAGACCUUGGCAUUAGUUGAAGACUCUUUUGUGCAAGGAUGCUUUGUGUAUAUGUAUGUGUAUGUAAUGCUUGGUUUUGUUGCAUAUGUAGUAAAAUAAAUGAAUUUCUCAAUUUGUUAAAAAAAUACUUCACUGAUUUUAUCUGUUUCCUUCUGUUUGGUUUUCCAAAAAAAUAGUUUUUUGAUUGGAAAAAUAUUUUCCGUCUCCUUGGUUUUUAGAAAAAGUAGUUUUUAAGAAGUUUUUUUUUUUGAGAUUUUACAAUAAAAGCAGUAUUUUUGUUUUUUGGAUUUUUUUUAAAUAAAAAUUUAUAACAAAUAAAAGUUUGAGGACCAAAGUGUAAUCAGAGUCAUAGUUUGAGGGCCAAAAGAGUAAUUUAACUCCAAGGUCUAAGAAUUAUUUGUUUGUUUAAUAUUUAAUUUAAUUUAAUUUAAUAAUUAUUUUUUUAUUAUUAAAUCCCAUUUUAAAACAACCGCGGCAAUUGGCGAUACCACCUUAUGAUGAUAAAUUCAAACUUCUUUUUUUUUUUUUUUUUUUUUUUUUUUUUUUGAUACUAUAAAAAUGGAGUCGUAUGUGGUCUCCUCCUAAAACCCGUUCUCCAUUUCCGAUCGCCGCGUAGAAGAGGGAGCGAGGAUUCGGCGAUCCGACGCCGCCGAUGAUUCGUGAUGGACGACGCGUUCGCGUUUUCCUCGGCGAGAUUCGGUUCGUCUCCUCCGCUUUGCUCGGUUUUUUGCUUUUUUUUUUUGUGUUUUUUGUUGAUGAAUUAGAUCGAAUUUAUUGGUUUCAUCUUUAUUGCUUUAAUGUUUGAGAUGAGAUCUAUCUGUUGCUAUUUAUUUAUUUAUUGUAUGAUUUGGGAGAUUUGUUAAGCAAUUUUCUCUAGAUUUCAUGUAUCUAUCUUAAUUUUGUAGAUGUUUGUAUGCUUUAUUAUCUUUAAUUUUUGUGUUGUUGUUCUUGUUUGGGGGUGGUAAAGGGAUCUGAUCACUGUGUGAACUCUAUCUGAAAUAUAAAUUAGGGAGUAUUUGGCCCUGCUUCUGCUUUUAGCAGCAGUAGCCUCAGUAGAACUGGAAAUUUUGCUGCAGCAGAAAACGGAAAUCAGAUUCCGAGCCUCAAAAGUAUGAGCUCCAAUUUGAUGUGUUUCCGGCAACAGUAGCCUUAAUGGAUAAAAGAGAAAAAUCUAGAGAUUUUGAUGCAUCAAGAAGCACAAACGAGAUUCGAAACCUCAGAAGAAGAAGCUCUAAUUUGACGCUAUUGAUUCUGCUAUGAAAAGAGCUUGUAUUGGGUAUAUUUGAUGUAGUGCUUCUCUUAACAACACUAUUCAUUAAUUCGUCAAAGUACAAACAGCACUAUAUUCAAACUUUUCCUUCAUUUCACUCGAAUUCUGUGAGUUGAAUUUCCUUUUACCUACUCUUGGUUGAUCUCUGGUAGUUUAUAUGGUGUGUUAUUGUGCGAAUAGAGAGUAUAUUAAUGCAACAAUGUCAAGUGUCGAGAUCAACUAGAUCAAAAGAGGAUCUGUAAAAUUCUACUCCUCACCAAGCCAUUAGUAAUUUUACUUCCUCCAUGUAAUCAUUUUAUUGAGGACACCUUUCUUCUGCUUAUACGCAUUCUGUUUUGAACAAGUUUUUCGAGAAAAUUAUUCAGUCGCAUGAAUUAGUUGCUCUGUGUAAGAUGAUUGCUCAAAGGUCGAUAUUUUUUAACAAAAAUUUACGAUAAACUUGAUGCCUUAGUUCCCUUUCAAUCUUACUUUUCAUAUUCAAGUGUCUUCAAUUGCUCAAAAUGCACCAUUUAUGCAACUGUGAACUUAUGUCGUUGUUGGGUUCGUUUGUCUCACAUAUAUUGUAGAAUCGAGAUUGGCGCACUGUGUGAUGAAUCUCUACAACCCAAAAGAAGAGCUUAAGAAGGAUCUCCAUCCUCCUAGGUAAAUGCAUGAUAACUGUAGUAAGUUCUAUAGUUAUAGAUACCAAUAAAGUAUUUUAUUUGUCUUAUUUAUGAUUGAACUGAUUUUGUUAGUAUUAGCUCUGUUCAUUCUCCUCAGCUACUUCAUGAUUUUAUUUUUAUCCAUUAGCAAGCAAAUAUAAAACUCUUAGAGCAUAAAAGUAAUAGGACAAAGUUACAAACUGUAUGUAUAGAUCAUUAUACACCGACAUUCGAAUUUGCCAACCAAGUUAACCUUCGGUUUUAUAUUUCACACCGAUAAAAGAUGCAUUUGUACAAUAAAGAGAGAAGGAAACAUCUAGGAAAAGGAGAGGGAAGAAAAAAGCACCAAAUAAAUGUUUUUUCGGUGAGAAAGCAAAGAACAGUUUUACAAUUUAUAUGAUUGAACAAGAAUUCGACCUCUUUUCAGAACAUAUCCACAAGCACCCAAAGGAAAUGUAGUACAAAGAAUCCCAUUCUGCACACACAAAAUGAAAUAUAUAUGUAUGAAAUAAAUUCAGAUCCCCUCACUCCUAGUUUACUACAAUGUUACAACAACACAAACUAAAACCCUCCCCUAGUGGAUUCAAACAUUCUGCGUAACUCCGACCGCAAAUGCACUGUGCUCCGUGUUGUCCUCACCACUUCUCGUCGUAUCUAACUUCUCCCCGUCGCCCCACAAUGCGUAGGCUUCUUCGCCGUGCACUGCGUCAUCUCCAAUCAGCAGCUGAUCAUCCGGUAUUCUUAGCGGGACCACAAGCUUAAUGACCAGACAAAUGAUAGAGGUCACAACGACGUUCCAUCCGAUGAUGAAUAAGGCGCCGGCUAUUUGUUUUCCGAGUUGCGACCCACCCACACCGCCAUAGACUGCGCCGUGAGAGUUGGUGACCGGGAGGAAGAGGUUGCAAAGAGUCUGUUCAGCAAAAAGCCCGGUGCUGAUACCCCCCAAAACGCCUGCAACGGCGUGGGUAUGAAACACACCGAGCGUGUCGUCGAUCGCUUGGAGCAAAGACCAAUGACGGUGGAUCACAUUCAUGGUGAACCAGGGGACGCUACCAGAAAGGACCCCCAUCACUAUAGCUGCCCAGCCUUGGACCACUCCUGAGAAAGGCAUGAACAUAUAAGGUUGGUGUUUUUGAUGUUUCUAUAUCUUUGUGCAAACAAAUAGUAGGUUGAAUGUGGACAUCUCAUUAGUGUAAAUGGAAAUCGGUAUUGAUCCGUCCGGUCCGGUGAACCAGAUCAACUCUGACUAGAUCUAUAAAAAAUCGGGCCAGGUGGGCAGGUCAGAACUUAAAAGGUUGGAUCAUUUUUGCUUAGAGAUAUUCACAGUAUCGCAAACUAUGUAGCCUUGGUAGAACUAGUAUUUUACUGGAGUUCAAUAUGUUUUCUCUCUUUUGAGUAAAUCAGUGUUUAACUUUGAAUUGCAUAUAUGGUGCUUUUACAACUAUAUACUCCUGUAAAAUCUGACUUUUUUUUCCUAUAUGCUCUUCAAAAGUGCAUUUUCUUAUAAAAUUAUCUUUAUCUUAUGCUGCAGUAUACCGAGAGAAGUUUUUACAAGGGAAUAUGCGAAAAGCUCUUUAUCUUAUGCUGCAGUAUACCGAGAGAAGUUUUUACGAGGGAAUAUGCGAAAAGCUAAGUUCAUGAAGAAUAUCAUAUCUCUGAAAAGAUAUCAGAAAACAGUCUCACCACAAGCUGUUGGGAUAUUUUCAUGCAGGUUGAAUUAAAGAAACAUGGAUUCAGGAUCAGAUCCAAUGUCAACAGCAUGGUAAAACUUCAAAUUAUCCUUUCUAAAUUGCUUUGUUGAGUAUCAGAAUAGCUACUUAAUUGCUUCGACAAAUCAAAAAGGUGACUUGGUCAAUAACCAGUGAUUUGUUCUCAUAUUCAGUGUUAUGUGUGGUGGAAACUGGAAAUUCUAAACCAUGGGCUUGGCAUUUUGUUCUUAAAACUGUGUGGAAAGUCAAAUUGCACAGCUGGAAUUGAGAGAUCUGCUUCCAACUACAGCUGAAAUCAAGCCUACAGUUGCUGAAACACAGGUACUUUUUAUAAAUUUAAGUUAUUUCCAAAGAAUAAAAUUUGAGGUUUUGUUAAAUCCAAUUGUGAUUCUGUUAAAUUUUAAUCUCUCGUAAUGGCCUUUUCAAGAUUUCGUUAACUAUUAUCGGCUAAUAACUAAUUCAACUGUUAAUUUUAAUGAAUUGAAAAGUAACUUAAAAGUUGAGGCCGUGUUAAAAAAAAAAAAAAAAAGAAAAAAGUGGAGGGCUAAUUUCAAAAUGGCCUAUAGCUUAGGGGUGUCCAUACAUUUUUACCUUUUAAAUUCUUCCAGUUAGGUCAUAAGUGCUCUCCAAUGUGGAGCUUAUUAAACUCUUUAUUUACACCAUUUUUUAAACUAAAAAAAGAGUACAAGGCAUCCAUAUUAAAUAGUCUAAGUUAAUUAAAGGAAAUUAAAUUAGGCUCGAAUUUUGACCAGCCAAUAUAAAUUAUGUGUAGAAAUUCUCACAUAAGUUGCUUAUAACCAAUAACAAUAAAAAUUCAAGUUGAGAACCAGUGUCAAUUAAAAAUGCAAAAAACAUACAUGAGACUUAUCUCUAAAUUAAAAGUUUACACCAAUAUCAAAAUCAUAUAGUAUUAGAGAUAAUCCAUAUAUUUUUUAGGAAACUAAUCAAAGUUGUUAGGAAUCCGAAUGGGAUAACCCAUUUUGUUCGAAUUAUAAAGGAUUCAACCUGAGAGUGGUUUUCUUAUUAAGGAUUUAUUUUUUGGAUCCAGUUAUUUUUCGGGAUCGGUGCGGGAGCACCAAUCUCAUUUGAUUCCCUUUAGAAAAUAGGGAAUAUUUUCAAGUGUGUCACUAUUCUAUUAUUGUUGGAUCAUGAUUCUCCUUGGCCACAUCUGGGGUUUCCUCAUUCUUAAUAAGUGAUUGGCUCCAAAUUAGUCAAUAUCUCUUUAAAUUAAUACUGUAAGCGUCAGAAACACGGAUUUUGUUGUUUUAUUAUAGGUAAGCUUGUACGAAACUAAAAUUAAGAUAUACUUGAAAAUAGAUAUUAAUUAAAAUGUAGAGUUAAUUGUAUACUAUAAUUAAUUAAAAUAUACUUGAACAAUAUUUAAUGGAACGAUGAUGAUUCCAUGACCCCACGAGAUUGAGAUUCCAAAAAGCCGGCUUUUGACUUCAGAAAAAUGAAGACAUUAAUUUUGUAAAUUCUGGGUAUCAGGUUGGUAUCAGAAUUAAAUGUUCUUUUCCAACUUUUUUAGGUCGAGAACCAAUAAUAUUUCAUAUCAAAUAAAACAAAUGGUAAGAUUCAAAAAAGUUACUCUUAACGACCCUGUAGUCUUAUUUGUGUUGCUAUUAAUUAGUGUUAUGUGGUUGUUUACCGCCUCGGUUAUGUGGAUUAUACUCCAUUGUUAUUAGGUUUUCUCGUCUAUUAACGAGUGGUUUAGCUUGGAAUAAAUCUCAGGAAAAAUUAGGAAAGACUCUGAAUGUUGUUUGAAUAGAGUUAUUUAGAAAAGUCUCAAAAUUCUUUUAUUUUAUUUUAUUUUAUUAGUGAUUUUAUUUUAAACUUGAAGGUCACGGUCUAAAUUAGAACUAUUUGUAGAGUCAAUGGAAACUCUAGGAAGUUCAUUUGUCGUGUCAAAAUUUUGUUGGAAUGGAGAUUUAUUCCACAACCUAACAGGAAUGGACACAGACUAUUAUUGUACUCCCAAUAGUUUCACAUCGGAUGGGGUACUGAUUCCGAUCAGUUUAUAUGAGACUUAUAUGCUAAUAAUCAUAACUGAGCUUAAAUAUUUUUGGCCGAUGGUUUGAGCCUAACGAGUUAUUUUUGCUAGCGAAUCGGGUCGUUACAAUUCUAAUAAAAAAAAAAUUUUAAAAAAAAAAGAAAAAAAAAAGGAAGGUUUACCGGCGCCGGGGGUGAUGCAGACGAGGCCGGUGAUCAUGCCCUGGAUGGCGCCGAUCACCGACGGCUUCCCGAAGACGAUGACGUCGAGCACGGUCCACAUGAGGAGGCUGGUGGCCGCGCAGACGUGCGUGUUGAGCACCGCCAUCGACGAGUCGAUGUUGGCCGAGUACGGGUCCCCGCCGUUGAACCCCGUCCACCCCAUCCACAGCAGCCCCGCCCCCGCCAGCAGCAGCAGCACGUUGUUCGGCGGGAACCGCUCCCUAUCCGCCUGCGACCUCGGCCCCACCUAUGCAGCAGGAGUAGCAAACGUGUUGAGUCAAAAGAUCUUAUAUAUACGUCCUUUUCUACUUGAGAAGCAGAAGUUAAAAAAAAAAAAAAAAAGGGAUACGCACCCAGUAGGCGGCGGUGAUUCCGGCAAUGCCGGAUGAGACGUGGAUAACGUACCCGCCCGAGUAGUCGAUCACCCCCCAUUGGAACAGAAACCCCCCGCCCCAGAUCGAGAAAGCGCCGAUCGUGUAAGAGAAGGUGAUCCACAGCGGCACGAACGCCAUCCAGGCCAAGAAGCUCAUCCGGCCGAGGAGCGAGCCCGCGAGGAGAAUGACGGUGAUCGCGGCGAAGACGCACUGGAAGUAGACCAUGGAGGCGGCCGGGUAGAAGGGCGCGACCAUCGGCGUCUCCACCGCCUGCCCGCCGCGGUAGUAGUGGGUGGAGGCCGGGAGCGUCGACUGCGCGAUCAGGAACUUCUGGUCCAGGGCCGGCCGCGCCUUCCCCCAGAAGGGGAGGAGCUUGUCGCCGAAGGACAUGUUGUAGGCCCAGGUGACCCAGCAGAGCCAAACCGCGGCGAAUGCGUAGAGGGCCAUGAAGGCGGAGUUUAUGGCCCACUUCUUCUUCACGAUGCUCCCGUAGAGGAUCACGAGGCCCGGCAUCGACUGCAGGCCGACGAGCGUCGCCGACGUCAUCUGCCAUGCGUUGUCGCCCUUGUUCAGCCACUCCGGCGACGACGACGAGUUCUGGUACGCCGCCGCCACCGCGCUCGCCAUCUCUACGACCUAGCUAGUUUACGUGAUUUAUACCUAAGGGAAUGAAUGAAUGAUUGAAUGAAUGAAUGAAUGAAUGAAGAGCAAAUGAUGCUCUUCUUUUUUACUUCCUUCGCCUUAUGAUAUAAAGAGGAGUAGAAAACAAGAGCACAAAAUGAAGGCCGAGAGGGAGAGUCGUAGUGAUUGAGAGUUUUAGACGAGCAUUUAUAGUGGCAGGGGAUUCAGUGGGAAAGGGUUUAAAAAAAUAAAAAAAAAAUAAAAAACUUUAAAUACCACCUUCUGUUUCAAAUUUUUUCACUUUAAUAUUUUAUGAUUUGAAAUAUAUCAAUUUAAUAUCCUGUAAUUUUAUUUUUAUUUUUUUAUUAUCGAUUUUACUAAUUUUUUUGUUAAAUCAGUGACAAAGUUAAAACCAAAGGAUACUAAAGUGAAUAUUUAAUAAACUUAGGUCGGUAUUUGAAGUUUUUUGUAUAUAAUUUAAUAAAAUAUUAACAGAAAAGAUAACAAAAAAAUAAAAAUGAAGCUAGGGGACUCUAAUUUGAUACAUUUUAAAUCACAUGGUACAAAAGUGAGAACGUACAAAACUGCAGGGUGCUAUUUGAAGUUUAUUCUAAAAAAAAAUAUGAUUUUGUGUGUUGAGUAGCAUUAGGUACUUAGAUAGCAUUAGGUACUUAGAUAUAAUAAUAUGCGGAGUUUUAAGGCUGAAGUAGUGGAUACUAAAUAGAUUCCUCUCAUAUUAUAUUCAGGAGAAUUGUUUUCUUUUUUUUUUUUUUCGUUAGAAUAUUCGUAUUCGUUUGCGUAGGUACAUACACUGAUCGUUACCUGUGUAUUUAUUUGUUUAUUUUUAUAAGGUGUGAAUGGAGAAUCUUAUUUUUCAACGGUCGUCUUGGUUAGGGUUGUUACGUAGGCUCAAAUUUGAACCCCAAACAAGUUAGUUAAAUUUGAUAUCCAAGUGAACCUAUUAGCCAAAUCCUUAUUGUCUUUGUUGAGACCACUUCUCAAUCAACUUUAUUAGAUUUAUCUUUUAGGAUACCAUCAAAAUGGGUAAUUAUUUCUUUUAGUUUCAUGUGGUAAUUGGUUCUUGUUUUUAUAUUCACAGUGAAAUAAAAGUGGACUGGUAUGCUUCUGGAAGCACAGAGCUUUCUGUGAUUUCAAGUUGUUUUCGAUGUUCGGACUUUCGAAUCGACGAUCGGCUCUGUUAGAGUUGAUUUAGAGUAUUUGAAGUACCUAGAAAAUAAAUUUUGUGAUUUUUCGAUAUCAUUUACCUAGUGAUCGGAGAGGCUCAAAAUUAUUAAUUUUAACGGCUGUGGUGAGCCGUUUGCAACUUUAACGGUAUAGAAAUAUUCAAAUCAUAUGAAAUUUUGAUAGAAAAUUCUUUAUACCGUAUAAAAUAAGAUCAUAACUUUGAUCUAAAAUUUUAACAUCAUAUCAUCAUAUAUUGUAUGAUUUUUAUUUUCAGCCGUUGAUUUUGAGCCACUUCGAUCACUAGGCAAAUGAUAUUGAAAAAUCGCAAAAUUUAUUUUCUAGAUACUUCAAAUACUCUAGAUCAAGUCUAACGGAGCCGAUCGUCGAUUCGAAAGUCCAAAUAUCGAAAACAACUUGAAAGCACGGAGCGUUCCGUGCUUCCAGAAGCAUACCAGACGCACUCGAGAAAUAGUUGUUUUCUUGUAAAAGUUUAAGUUACUAGGAAAUAGUAUUUUAGUAUUUUUAUUUUUAAAAACAUGCAGAAAAUAGUCCCCAUAUUUUGGAUACAUAUUCAAAGCGUGAAAUGGGUAUGUGCUGCGAAACUUAAACAAGUACUAAAAAUUCACAUAAUAAUUGGAUGAAACGUAGGGAUUACGUCUAUCAAGAGGACUCUGGGAUUUUCACAUCAUCUUUUUUUUUUUAGUUUAUUUAUACAAGUCCACUCUUUUUGCCAAGGAGAAGAAGCAAUCUCUUAUGAAAUGUUCAAAAAGUGAUUUAGCCAAAAAUAAGCAGAGAUUCGUUUUAUUUUAAAAAAUAAUAAUAUAAUUAAAAAAAAAUGAAAUGAAAUUAAUCAGGAUAAACUAACUGGGUGCAUUACAGCUUAUCAUAAGAAAUCAUGAUCUAAGAACCUUAUGUUCGACUUUUGAAAACUUAUUCACCCACUUAAUAGAUUAUUUUCAUGUUUAAGAAAUAUUAAAGAAAAACAUUUUUUCUUACGUAUAGUCAAAACUUUUGGAUUACUCGAUAUUUAUCAUCUCAGUACUUAAAAAAAAUAAUUUUAAAAAAGUCAAAGAAUCUUUCCGAAAAGAUUUAGAAAUAAUGGAUACUUUUUAAAAUAAGUAAUGCUAGAUAUACACCCAAAAGUGAUGUAGACUUUACGUCGAUUUCAUUCAAGGAUGGGAUUCACUCUACAAAUCACAUCAUGUGACUAAUAGAUGAUUCUCUAUCUUUGGAUGGAUGGAAAGUAGGAUAUACACUCAUUUUUUAGUGUACACAGCUGUUUUUCUUUUGAAUUUAUUCUAAUUUAUAAUAAUGAAUAUGGAGUUUUCUAAUAAAUCCACUUCUCUUUUUUUCUUAGUCAUCCAUAUGAUUUGACUUGUUGAGAGGCGCGUAUAUACAAUUGACAUUUUUUUGUUUUUGUCCUAAUUAUGUGGUGCACAAAUUGUGCUUUAAUGGGCUCCGUAAACCAAACAAAAUUCAAACUGAAUCCGAUCCAAAAUAAAAAUAAAACCAAUUCUAAGUUGGAUCAUUUAUAUUAGGUGCUAAGAGGUUGAUCCAUGCCAAUAACUUUUUUUUUUUUGCCUUUUAGGGAAAACUUAAAUAAUAAAAUCUUAUGCCAUAGGUUAAUGGAUUCAAUUUUACUACCAUAUUACUGUUUCAUUGUUAUUUUGAUUCUCUAUAAAUAUUUGCUGUUUGAAUGCGUAAUAUGAUGUCUACAUUAUAGUUUUCAGUAUAUUUUAUCUUUUUUUUUUAGAAAAGUAGUUUAUAACAAGCUUCAUUCAUUGAGAAGUAAAAACUGGAAAAUAAGAGUGACAAAAAAAAAAGGAAACUACAUAAUUUAAUACUCAUAAUGUUUUAAUAAGUUUUUUGAUUAUUACGCUCUCAGUUUUAGAUAGUAUAUUUAACAGUCGAUUCUUAUCUAAAUUCGAAAACUAUAUAUCAUCACUUUAAACAACACAAUAGUAGUAUUUUCUUUUUCUUGAGGAGUGCGACCCAAUAAAAAUUCCUUAGAUUUUGUUAUGUAAGUAAAUUUGUUGAGAAACUUUUAGCUUAAUUUGCAAAGAAACUAUUAGCCAAAUUCAUAAAAUAAUAACACCUGAAAAUCUCAUCAUCAUUAGGUUUCAAAUCUAGGUGGUUGGACAAAGUUUUUUUUUUUUCUCUUUUGUAUUUUUUUUUUCCUGGUCAAUAUCAAAGUUUCCUUUCAGGUAACUCUUCUGCACAACACUUGAUAGUGAUUGCUUGUGAUCAUACAUCACAAACAAAAUAAGAGAAUUGUCACCACUUCUAUAUAAAUAAAAAUAAAUUAUUGAGCCCAGUUGAUCAAAAUAUAAACUACAUAUAUAAUUACAAGAAAAGAAAAGAAAAGGAAUGUUUCCAUCAAAACCAUCUAACCAUAGUCCCCUACUGUAUGCCUUCUCCUUGUAGUUUGUUGGCUAGGUGUAAACCAUGACCUAUUUAUGAUUUUAUACAUGGCUCAUCAUAGGAAAUUUUUUUAGUUACAUCCAUGGAGUCGACACGUAAUAGGAGUUGUGAUUUAUUAAUUAACGCUGUUCUUAAUCUAAGGUUAUGCAUCUAUUUCUGUGUGCCAUUUUGAUCCAUUCGUCGUGUUACUAUCUUAAUGAAUCAUGAAUCACUAUCCUUCCUCUCUAGGUUCCAUGACAAUUACAUUAAUAUUAUUUUCAUAUAUAUAUAUAUAUAUAUACUAUUGAGAAGUAGCUUGCCUAGAACUGAGUUAACAGCUUAAUAUAAUAUGAUUGGCGAUGGUUAGUGUCUAACCAACAUAUUCGGUAUAUUGGAAUUGAUGGGGAGAGAAUUAGGGAUCAGAAUCAGUAUCGGAAUCGCAAUGGAAUAGAAUUAGAAAUUGACCUACUCUUGUUGUGCCAUUGGUUCAGCAUGUAAUUGAUACUUCAAAUAUGAAAAAAAAAGAGCAAUCAAAGUUAACACUUUUGGUGCAACAAUUUCAUUGAUGGUCUAAUUAUAGGAUUCAAAUAAUGUCACACUACAUCUCUAAUUUGUUAUUAUGCUUAUCAGUUUCAUUAACUAGGACUAGAACAGGAAAUAAUUUGAUAAUAACUUGAUUUCUUGUAGUAUCAAGGCAAAAUGAAGUUAUAUAUGUUGUUUGGUUAGGAAGAUACAAAUGCAUGAAUCAACUUAGUCGUAAGUGAUUCUCUCAAUCUUUAAUUCUAGAAUAUGAUAUGAUGUGGACAACCAACAAUGAGAGAACCCCAACCCAUUAUCAUUCACAUAAAAAUAUCAUUGACCUUCCCUUAAAUAGUUUAUUGGGGCAUUGUUUAAUCAUAUGAUGUCGAAAAUUUUAAAAUUCAACCUAUUUUUGACAAAAAGCCAAUAACUGGAGCUUCCUUCUUAAGGUGCGGUGCGGUGCCACACUUAAGGAGAUAUUACAAGCAAGAUUAUUUUUGCAAGAUAUGGAAAAGUUUAUUUAGAUAUUCAUGUCUCUUUAAAGGAGUGAAUCUCUUAAUAGGUACUCUUACCUUGCUUGAAUUUAAUCCUUUUUUUGAGAGAGAUAGGUAGCACGCUACCCGUUUCGUUUAUUUCAUUUAGAAAUAAACUUAGCUGAAAAUGUGAAUCAACUAGGAUUCGAACUUGGGUCUCAGGUACCAACCACCAAGCCCUUUGCCACGUGCUCUAGGAAUGGUCGGUGUGAAGUUAUAUUUAUCACAACAUAUAUUAUGUCAUCAUCAUCUUGGAACGGAUCGGGCCGGAGUGGAGCAUACUUGGGCCCUAUUGGGCCAAGGAGUUAACCUUCAUUAGCUUGGGCUAUCUUGGGCCUUGCCAAUAUAAACGGUAAGCGCAACGACCUCGAACCGCGCUUAUUCUAGAUAUGGAUCGGGUUCGGAAGGAUUUGGACCGCUUCAUGUUUCAUUUUACCGCCCAACAACCUUAUCUAGGUUUUCUAUGCUAAAUUGUUUGAGUGUAUGACAAACUGAGUUGAGUUGAGGAUUGUUAUGUCACUGGCACGAAGCGUGCCGCUGCGCCAUCAACACGACACGACACGACACGAGACGACACGACACACAUAGGUACUACGCACCCUCAUUUAUCGGCACGAGUAGCACAUUAAUUCAAGCUCGAAGGCGAAUUUACAGCAGAGCUAAUUCAACAGAAACUAAAGUGCUGAUAUAGAAGAGAAUUGCAUAUAGUUGUAACUGUAUUGCAGUUGUAACUGAAUGUAAAUAUAAAUUUCGUGUUUGGUUUGAUGUAUUUAAUUCCAACUGCUGCAAUAGGAACUGCAGGAGGAGGCCCAACUGCAGCAGUUCGAACUACACUCAAAUUGGCCGUAGUUCCAACUACAGCAGUUGGAAAGAGUAACUUUAAAUAAAAGAUAUGCUUACCUCAAUAUUUUUCAAACAAAAUUAUUUUUCUUUUUUACAUUGGAGGUAAUCUCACCAUCAUAUAUAUAUAAUAAUAAAAUUUUUAAAAUUAUUUCUCAACUGCAUGCAACCAAACAAAUUAUUUAUACUUGCAGCACUUUCUACUACAUCCAACCAAAUAAGAUUCAUAUAGUUAUAACUGUUGUAUUUCCAACUGCGUGCACCUCUAACUAACUAUACUGUAUUUAUAAUUAUAUCUAACGAAACGCCCCCUAAAUGAAGGAAAACCAGAAAAGAAAUAACUUGUCCAUUGAGAAAACACCACACCCAACUAGCACUUGUACACCAACAAAUCAACACUUGGAGGGAAAUAGUUGUAAAAAGUGAUCGAUAAAAUAUACAGUAGAGUUCUGAAGAGUUUUCGCCGAUCGUGCUUAAGAUGAAUAUUCUACAAAGCAUCUUAAAUAUUUCAUGAGUAAUAUUAUAACAUAAUAAACAACCGCCGACGAUUUUACACAGUUAUCGGGACAUGAUCAUACAAAAAAGAAAACAAACUGAGGAGGAAAAGAUCAUUAACUAACAUUUCAAAGCCAUAUUCUAAUCCUUUAGUUUCCUCCUUUUCUUUGUGUAGGCCAACAAACUUGAUCAACUGAUUUGGAAUUCUCCGCUAGCGUGGACUUCUUUAACUCUCUUAUCGUAUUCAUCCUCGCUGUCCUCCUCCUCCUCCGCUUCUUGCUCUUCGUUCCCUUGCCUGCCUCCUCUGUCGUCCUGCUCUUCGUCCUCCGUCCACCCGAAUCCCGCCACGGGCGUGGUCGACGGCGGCGGCGUCCGCGCCUCCGUCACGAUCUUCAUGAUCUCCUCGACACUCUGAAGGGAGUAAAUCGGGGCGGUGUUGUCUCUCUUAUAGUAUACUGCUUGUGCAGUUUCAGUUAGCUCCCUAGGCAAGUUCUUUAGGAACCAGGGGUGGUUUCUAAUUUCCCUUAUUGUUAUCCUCUGUGAGAGACAAAACGAGGUUCCGACAAUUAACAAACUAAUUUUUGACACAUGACACCGCAUGGAGGUUGAAAGUAUCGAAAGAGUUGGUAAAAGUUAGCAAAUAUGAAUGUUGAUCCUAACGAGAAAUUAGUUGGGCAUUUUAAUAUAAGCCAUGGCGGUCGCGCACGAAAUUGAUUCAUAUAAGCAUCGUUUCAACAUGUACCUUUGCUGGGUGAGGGACGAAGAUACGAGAUAGGAGCUGCCUGCAAUCCUGCGAUAGGUGGACGUAGUCUGGUAUUUUGUAUUGAAUCGACAUUAUCCUCUGCAAUCGAAGAACAGUUCAGUGUCAAAAAGCGUAGCGAGAAUUUUGUCCAUAAAGAUAGAAUAUCAUUUAAUAGAUCUCGCUUCGACGGAGGAAGGAAGAUGAGAUUUUAAAAGAAAUUUACCUGAAUGGUCUUUCUGAAAUUCCUAGGAUCGUCGGGGUCCUCAAAAGGAUAAGCUCCCACCAGCAUUACAUACAGGGUUACUCCGCAGGACCAUACAUCCGCCAACUACAUCAGCGAACAAUCACUCAUCAGUGAUCCAAGAGGAACACUAUAAAGAGGCAUAUACUAUAUUUAAAGAAUUUAAACAAAUAACAAACAACAACAUCAUAUUUUGUCCUUUUUACCUUUUACUAACAUUUUGUAGUACCUAAAGAAUGAGGCUGAAUGACCCAUUUUAACUUGCAAAACACGCAAACCAAGCAUCAUUAGUGCAUAAUUGUUAAAUAUUUUACAUUGGAACGAUUUUUAUCGCGCUCUCAACUCUAUCAUUUUUCAAAUUGUUGCUCCACUUAAAAUAUCCACUGGCUAUAUACAUCUUGCCUUGAAUCUGCUAGCGUAUUACGCUAGUUCUCCAUGUUCAAAUAAUUGUCAUUGAAAUUAAUGUGAUAUGCUCACAAGUUACCGACUAUUUCUAGUGCAAGUGACAAAGGAUUUGAUGGUUAGUAUCCAAGGUCCUAAGUUCGAAUCCUAGUUAAUUCAUUUUUCUAACUAAGUUUUUUUCUAAAUAAAAUAAACGAAGCGGGUAGCAUGCUUCUUAUCUCUCAGAAAAAAGAUAUGCUCACAGGUUACAAAUUUAGUCGCACAUGAAUUAACAAUUGAUAGGGUAGAGAAUGGAUAUGCGCGAUUGGGAUAUGCUACUUAUCUCUCUCAAAAAAAAAAAGAUAUGCUCACAGGUUACAGAUUUAGUCGCACAUGGAUUAACAAUUAAUAGGGUAGAGAAUGGAUAUGCGCGAUUGGGAAUGGAAAAUAGACUCAAUUUUUGAAAAAAUCGUCAUGCUAACUCCAAGGUAGAUAGGACCUUUCAUGGGCCUUUCUUUAAGCCCAAUAAAUCAGAAAAGAGAUGCAAUCUGAUAUUUGAACUUGGGUCGCAAUCAGGACGUAAAAUAUUUUUCACCAACUUCAUUAGCAGCCGGAGAUAUUUUGAGUUGGGAGGAGAUCCCAAUCAGAGCUGGGACACCUUCCUGAUGAUUGAAAAUUCAAUGGUGACGUCUUUUAAGAGAAUCAAUGGUGACGUCUUUUAAGAGAAUCCAAAAACCAAAUAAUGAGACUCCUGUGUGUGCAGUUUGUCAAAAGCAGGUCCACUGAAGACUACGACUGCUUCUACCAAGACAUUAACGUGGCCUUAACAGUCGUACAUUAUGAUGGUGAUGCCGACAUGGGGACCCACCAUUUUGACUCAGCAUGUGCGUAACGUAUUACGGCAAUUUUAGCUCUCUCUCUCUUCUUCUUCUUCUUUUUUCUUUUCUUUUUUUUUUUUUAAUUUUUUGACGUGGGUGAAAGCUCCAUAGCUAUUUUCCAUCACCAUGACGUAACAUUACACAACUAAAUUAGAAUUGAAAGAACAAAUAAGGCCGGGCUUCUAAAUGUUACUGCAAUUUAAGGUAUUAUCAGUAACUAUUCGAUAAAAUUAUGAAAUUAUUACUUUUCUCAAGUCUAAACUGAACAUGUCAAAAUGUCCAUUCGCAGGCCCAUCGGUAUACACGAAAUUAUACCUCAAGUUGUAACUCCGCGAAUUCCAGGAUAGAUUGUUAAAUCCAAGUAAACUAUACUACUCUCGAAGUCUCGAUCCAAAAUGUGACACACACUAAAGGUAGACAAAAUUUGACUCGUGGAACACAUGUGGAAGACCCAUAAGGGGACACGUCAACAUGUUUCAUUUACCUAUCUUAAUUUUCUCUCUCAAAAAAAAAAAACUAUCUUAAUUUUCCACGGAAAGGGAACUAACCCUAGCCAAACUGAAACAACUCUCUCCAUACGAUGGGAAAUGCGCAAAAAUAAAUAUCCUACAGUUUUGAAUUGGUGCACAAUUAUGGGUGCAAUUGGUUGGUAGGUGUAACAAUGGUUCGUUUUCAUGAGUAGGCCAUGCAAAUACCCCCACUGGAGGGACUAAAAUUCACUCCGAAUUCAAUCUUAGAGGACUUACAUCAUCCUAAUCGCAUAUUUUUUAAUUCAAGAACUAAAAAUUCAAUAGCAAUAUAUAUAUAUAUAUAUAUAUAUAUAUAUCUGGCCUUUCACACUUUCCCUCAACUGUUGGAAUAACUCAAUUCCUUCCUACCUUUCUAAUCUACAACAAUACCAAAAAAAUAAGAGAGAGAGAGAGAGAGAGAGAGAGAGAGAGAGAGAGAGACCACCCAACAACCUACCACCAACCCGUCCAAACCCAAUCCGAAGCUGCUGUGACAUGUGGCUUUGUCCAUGUGGGACCCGUUCACAUGGAGUCCACGUGUCAGCAUCACAACCAGUGAUACGAUAAAUGCUACGUUAAUUGAUAAUUCAUUUUAAAAAAAAGAUUUUGAACGGCGCGGUGAGGCCCAGUGCAUAGAAAAAUUUUAGAAAGCAACAGAUAUACUAGUAACGUGAUGUAAUAAAUUAAUUAAAAAAAAUUUUAAAAAAAUAUAUCCCAUCACAAUUAUAAAAAACUAUUUUUAUUAUAUUUUUAUUUAAAAAAAAUAAAUACGAACCAAAUAUGAUAGCGUAGAAUUCCUCCUGUGCGUGCGAAUGGAGUUUAACGAGAUUACGGCACUCUCAGCGGAUAAUAAGCACGUGUGAAGUCCACGUAACAGUCCCACGAAGGACGACCAACACCCGUGCGCCGGGUGCACGACACACCACGUACGCCGCGUUAGCAUCUCAUCUUCGUUCUCAAUCCAACGGUGGCGCACUGAUGCACCAUUACACCAGGUGCACGGAUAAUUUACGGAAAUAAAAAGGGUAAGCACGAAAUUACGAAACUGACCUUGCCAUCGUACUCGCGUCGCUGGAGCACUUCGGGGGCGAUAUACGCCGGCGUCCCCACCGUCGAUUUCGGCCUCGAGUGGAGCAGCGACGACUAUUCAAUUUUUUAAAAAAAAAAUAUAAAAAUUAAUUAAUUAUAUAAAAUAAAAAAAAUUAAAUAUAUCUUUUCGAAAUUUUAAAAAUUAUUAAAAAUAAAUGGAACCUUCGAGUAACCGAAGUCGCAAAUCUUAAGGCGGGGCGCGGGGUUCCCAUCCAAGAGAGUGUUCUCGAGCUUCAAAUCUCGAUGACAUAUUUGCUAAAAAAAUGAAAGUCAAAUUAUUUAAAAGAUUUUACUAUUUUAUGAAAUAAAUUCAAUUUUGGAUAUUAUGGAUUUUGUUUGUUUUUUUUUUUUUUCUACCAUGAAAUGGCAGUAGCUGACGCCGCAUAUUAGCUGCUGAAAAAAAUAUCUCGCCUGUGAAAAAAAUAUAAAUAAAUUAAGAGAGAGUUUUACUAAAAUUAGACUAGAAAAUUGGGAAAUUAACAAUAGUAAUAAUAAUGAGGCAAAAGUGCACAGGGACCCCUCAACUAUCCUAUUUACACAUCGUCUACGUUAUGUAAUUUAAAUUUUUUUUUCUUUAAAUUAAGCUACAGAUGCAGUUAAUGGAAGAGUAAAUUGGUUCCAUCUUACUAAUUCGAGUGCUUUUUCAGCUGAUAAUAAUACAGAAAACUCAAAAUUGCAUUACAUUUUACCAGAUAAUGGCAAGAAAUAAGCUCGUUAAUUUUAAUGAACUUUUAAUUCAAAUUUAGUAAAAUUACUCGAAUCAAAUCGAGGGAGCAAAUUUAAAUGGCGUAUAGUUAGGGGGGUUUUCCGUGCUUUUUUUUUUUUUUUUUUUACCAAAAUCGUCGUACCUCGUCUUCGCUGAACCUCCCAGCGGUGCAGAUCCGAUCGAAGAGCUCGCCCCCCGCGGCGUACUCCAUCACGAUCGCGAGAUGCGUCGGCGUGAGCACGACCUAAAACCAAAUCACAAAACCCUAAUCACCCCCCAAAAUCGAAACCCCGAACCGCGAUCGAAAUUGGAAACCCUGUGAAAAUUUGCGGAUCCCGAACCUCUUUGAACCGGAUGAUGUUCGGAUGCCGCAGCGAUCGGUGGUUGAUGAUCUCCCUCGCCACGUUCUCGUCGAUCUGCGGGGGGGGAGGGGGGGAAGGGACACACGAAGAGCACGAGGGAUCAGGGCCGUAGGAUCGAGAAUCGAGGGGCGAAAUGAGUCGAUCGGAACCCUAGUUUUUGUUGCCGUGGUUGUUACUUACCUUUUGGCCCCUAGGGAUGUACUUCAUGGCGACGAGCUCCUUCGUCUCCUUGUGGCGCAUGAGGCGCGCGACGCCGAAGUUGCCCGCGCCGAGGUCCUUCAGGAGCUCGUACUUGUCCAUGGCGAUCGAAAGGGGAGGAGGUCGAAGCUGGGAGAGAGAGAGAGAGAGAGAGAGAGAGAGAGAGAGAGAGAGAGAGAGAGAGGCGAGGGGAGUGGUUAGGGUUUCGGAGAGUUUGGAGGAGGAAGAAGACGAAGUAGAGAGAGAGAGAGAAAUUUGAUACGAUACGAUGCGGAGACAAGAGGGUGCGGUAUAAUUUAGACGGGUGGGGUUUUCAGUGAGAGAGAGAGAGAGAGAGAGAGAGAGAGCGCACGUGCGAGAGAGGAAGGGGAGAGAGAGAGCACGUGCGAGAGGAGAAGGGAGAAUUUGGUGACGCGGGAAUAGGGGGGCAAUUAUAUCCUGCACCGGGUGUAUAAACAUCUCAUACACCACACCUCUGAAAAGCUGUCACAGAGGUCUAAAAAAUCGAAAUAUCACUCACUUAGUCACUUAACAAUCGCCUCAUUUUUUACCCCUUACCAUUAUUAAGAUUAUGUAAUGCUUUAAAUUUUUAGAUCUCGUAUUUGGCACGUUGAAUUUGAAUUCUAAAACACUAAUAAUUAAAAAUUGAUAAAAAUGUAUAGACUUUAUUUAAUGGGUUAAUUUCAUAGGAGCCCUCACACCAACCCCUAAUUACAUGGAUACCCUCCAAAAAUUCUUAAUAUCAAAAAUACCCUUCAAAUUUAGUAAAAUUAUCAAAACUACCCUUAUUACCUAUAUUUUAAAAAAAUAUGGUUAAAAUACCCAUUUUACCCCUCUCACUCUUACAACAAUUAUAAUAUAUAUUUUAUUACCAAGAUAAUAUACUUUUACUAUAAGUAUUUUUCUAGUUUAAUUUAAUUAAUUUAAUAUGUCUUCAUUUUAACUAGUUUAAUAUGUCUAUAUUUUAUUUCAUUUAACUAGUAUAUAUUCAUUUUAUUUGUUUAAUUACAAAUGGAAUAAUUAGAUACUUUUUGUUAGAUUUAUUUUAAGAUUUUUAUAUUGUUUUAGAUGUAGUUUGAAAAUUCUUUAUUGUAGCUUUAAUUUAUAUUACUAUGAGUUUUUUUUCAUAUUUGUCUUUUUAUAGUUUACUUUGAUUAUUUUUUAAAUCUUUCUAUUAUGUUAUAUAUAGUUUGAUAGUUUUCUAUUUUAUCUUUGAAAAUUUUUUUUGAUAGUUUUCUAUUUUAAAUGAAAAAAUAAUUAAAAUAAUCAAAGUAAACUAUAAAAAGACAAAUAUGAAAAAAAACUCAUAGUCAUAAUUUUUUUGAAAAAAUAAUCAAAUUAAACUGUAAAUAAAAAACAAAUUAAAUUAAACUAAAAAAUACUUAUAAAAAAAUAUGUAUUAUAAUUGUUGUAAGAGUGAGAGGGGUAAAACUGGUAUUUUGGCCAUAUUUUUUCUGAAAUUCAAGUAACAUGGGUAGUUUUGAUAAUUUUACUAAAUUUGGAGGGUAAUUUUGAUAUUAAUAAUUUUUGAAGGGUAUCCAUGUAAUUAGGAGUUGGUGAGAGGGUACCUAUGAAAUUAACCCUUAUUUAAUUUAUCAACCAUUUCGAAUCAACUAUCCUACCUGUUAAAAUUUUGAUUUUAGUAUCAACCUUUCAAUUUAUUUUAUUUGAACUAAUCAAUAGUAUUUUGACCUUAAAAUUUGAAUUGGUCAUUUAUUUUAACAAAUUUAAUUAGUUUACUCCACAUAAUUUUUAUAACAUAAUUACAUUUAUAAUUAUAGUUUAUUAACGUAACUACCUUAAAUUUUGAAAUAAAAAUAUUAAUGACCGACUUAAAUCAAAUAAAGUAAAAAAUUGUAUAAUAAGUGAAAAUUUUAAAUGUUUAGAUAUUCAGCUCAAAAUGAUUAAUAAUUUAUAGGAAAAACUUCAAAUACUCCUGUGGUUUCACACUUUCUCACUUCAGUAUCAUGUGGUUUAAAGUAUAUCAAAUUAGUACCAUGUGAUUUCGCACUUUCUCACUUUAGUACCCUAUGGUUUCAAGUGUAUCAAGUUAGUAUCUUGUGAUUUUGUACUUUCUCACUUUAUUACCUUAUGGUUUAACAUUUCGUUAAAUUAUAUAUCCCGAAAUGGAUAAUAAAAAGAGAAAAUUGAAACCACUGGGAACUAACUUGAUACAAAAAUAAAAUCAUAAGGUACUAACUUGAUACACAUAAAACCACAGGGUACUAAAGUGAGAAAGUGCGAAAUCAUAGAAUACUAACUUGAUACACUUUAAACCACGGGAGGCUAAAGUGAAAAAGUACGAAACCACACGUGGUAUUUGAAGUUUCCCCUAAUUCAUAUAAGUUUCCUACAAUUUUAUCUUAAAAAUCGAAAGUGGUGCAUGAGGCAUACAGAUGCACCGGGUGCAGGGAAAUUUCUAGGGAUAUAGAUUGCCGCGUCAGCGGGCUUAGAUCGGAUCGGACACAGAGGCGUCUUUCUUAUUUCAUUUUAUUUUAUUUGUUUAAUAAAUCAUUCUUUCAUGAUGUACAAAAAUUGAAUCAUUGCGAGGAUCAUGCUAACUCGAGCUCGAUUUCUUAGUUCGAUAAUGUGAAAAGAAGAGUAUGCUAAACAAAUAUUUUUACUUAUUCGAUUGUAAGAAUACGGUUAUGAAACAUACAUGUGCGUGAUAGAGACCAAAUUGAGAUUUUUGAUGGUCUAGUGCAAACUAAAAUAGCCAAAUUUUUGAUAAAUCGAAAAGGAGUCUAAAGCUCCUCUUUGAACCCUCUAUACAAUUUUUGGCCUUUGGUAGAAUAUCGAAAUAUAGAAAGAAAAAAAAAAUUGCUCAUUGGACUCGUCAAUGCAUCUAUUCGGUAAGAACGCGUGAUUACAAUCUCAAUGCAUGAUGAUGCUAUUACCAGAGAUUAAGACCUAUAAAUUUUUCGAAUCUAAUUUUUUUUAUAAAUAAAAUUUAAUUAGUUUAAUGAAUCUGAUCCUGACUAUAGGGUCUAAAGAGUGGUGGGGCUCGAGCUUGCUAUGUCGACCUUGAAUAAUAAAAUUAAAAAACUAAAACUAAAUUAAAUUAAAUUAAUUUAAAUUAAAUUGAUAAAAAAUUGAUUGAGGAGGAGUACAAGGAAUGGGAGAGGUGAGGGGUGGUGGUCGCGUGGGGUGCACAGUAAACCCACCCGGGCCCUGCGCCAUGGGGAAAUGGGUUGGCUCCUGGGGAUGGCAUUGACCAACGAUAUUUUUUUCACUUUAUUCUAUCAUAUUUUAUUUCGUGCAGAGCCUGCGCGUAUGUAAAAUCGUGCUUGUUUUGCUCUGUCGAAGUUUCUACAAAAGUGUUGAUAUAAAUAUUGAAAAAAAAUUUUCACUUAAAUUUAUUCAGUAAAUUUGAUUGUGAUUAAAAUAAAAGUUCUAAAUUAGAGCAUCUGAUUGCGAAGAGUAAUGUUAAAUCUUGAUCGACUCCUUUGGUUAAAUCUAAAAAAUGGUAUUCAAGUAUUGUAUAAUUUGGCCUAUUUGUUUUAAAUAUUUUUAAGAGAGAGGAUAGGGGGUGGUGUAUCUGACAAGCUUAGCAUGUGCCAUGUCUACACAUACUACUUGUUCUAAUGUUUUAUUUUAAGGUACGUAGUAGUGGGAGAUUGUAUUAUAUUUUAUGUAAUGUGGAUAUAAAUAUGAGAAACAGGGUACUUACGAACGGUUUCUGUAGUCUUAUAGAUUAUUUUAUUUAGUAUUAUAUAAUAUUGCUGUACUAUUAAAUAUUAAAUAUUCUUUUUAAUGAAGUGGUUUGACACUUAAAUGGGCUGUUGAGAGAGAGAGAGAGAGAGAGAGAGAGAGAGAGAGAGAGAGAGCAUCUAAUUUGAAAAGCCUGGUUGUGAGUUUAUCCCUGCUAGGUGAAAUUUUACUUAUUUGAGUAGCACUGAUUAAAAAGAUAAUAAUAAUAUUUUUAUUAGAAUUGCUUUAUACCUUUCUAUUUUCAUUGCAAAUAAAAGCGUCGAUCUAAAGCUUCUGCUUUUGAUGCUCAUUUCAGCUUCUUAUUACAACAAAACAAUAAAUUUUUUGCUCGUCAAAUAUCUGACUUCUAUGUUUCAAAAGUUAGGCCAAACAAGCAUUUAAGCUUUCGUAAGCUUAAAUAGCAUGAAUAAGUACAAAAUUUAUUAAAUCUAAUUAAAUUCAAUUAGUCAAUAGUGAUCAAUUUCAAUAAAUUUAUUUGUCGUUACUAAAUUUUGAAAGAAAUAUCAUCACCCUUAUAUAGAAAGGUAAGUGAGGCCCAUAUUUCAUGUGAUCACAUGGGCAUAAUAAAUUAAGGUCAACACUUUGAUUUAUUACCAGGCAACAUUCAGCAGAGGACAAUAAAAGCCACGCUAGCAAGCUAGAAGGGAUUCAUUCAUCACCAAACAUUGACCAUGCUACAUUAAUCCUCAGUGAUAAAUAGGACACAAAAAAAAAAAAACUGUGUUUAUAAUAUAUAACCCAAAAAGAAAGGAUAUUAAAAAACAAAAAAGGAAAAAGGAUUAAACCUUUAGAUAACUGAGAAGCCACAUCAAAUUUACAUCGAUCAAUAUCCAACUUCAUGAAACUCAGAAUCCUAAUUUCCUUUUGGUACUAAGUGCAGAAUCGCUUUUCGGCGUGAUUGUUCUUCCAAAUUAAGAGGAUAGAAUAGAAUAAGACUGUUUUUCUCGAGGAAUAGUUUUGAAAAUGGCGAAUAUAGCAAUCACACGAAGAGGCAGGGAUAGAAGAAAGAAUUUCAAAGAGGGAGGUGGAUAGCUAAAACUUUUAACUCAUAUUUUGGAAAUUUGACAGAAAAACUAACAUGCAUAUCAUUUGAUUAUUCACGGGGAUAACAUGUAAAUAACCAAAGAUUUAGGGGCUCAGUCAGUUACGGAAAGAUUUCCAGGGUUAGAUAUGCAAAAAUACAAUCUAAUGUACAGUGGAUUUGAGCUGUAAAUUCAUGGGCAUGCAGGUAUGAAACCACAUUAGCUCACUUUAACCAGGUGAAGAUUUUUACCGGUCCAACGGUUGCAAAAAUGCCGUGGUCUUUUCUCGGCCAUUAUCCAAGACUGAUUAGCAAUCUCGAGAACAUAUGGAUCGUCAUAUAUCAGUUUUCUCACUAGAUGCACCCACGUGGUCACCAAUGGCGGAUUUAGCAUUGGCGUCCAUAUCGCCAGAUACCUCAUUUUUUGGUUCUGGAUCCAUUACUUGAUUCUCUGGUUUUCCUUCAUUCAUUCCUCCACUAUCACAAGCAGCCUCGGUUAAUGGUCCAAGGGCAUGCUCUGAUGAAACUUGAGCUCCGCCAGCACCAUUUGAAACAGUUUUGUUCUCAUCAGCUUCGGUUGCUUCUGUAACCACUGAAUUACUAACAGUUGGUUGAUCAUUUGCUUUUGACUCAUCCAAAUCCUUUGUAUCCGCAUCACCAACCUCUUUGGUUAACGACUCAUCCACAUUAAUGGAUGCAGGACCAUUACCGUUACCCUGCUUGGUGUUAUCUUGCGAGUUGCUAAUCUUUGUGGUGCUGACUGUUUGUUCAAUUGCCUGUUCUGGUGCCUGCACUUCUUGGUUUUUUUCUUUCAGUGAAGUCGAUGAGGUUCCUGAAUUUACUACUGGGGGUGAAGGAGCAGUAACAGGCCGGACAUGCCGAGCAUUUAGAGGUUGUUUUAUAUUUAUGGUAGCUGCUAAAGACGGUUUAAGAGUUGCCACUGAACUGGAAAGGUUUAAUCCUCGGGGCCUAAUAUGAAAGGCGCUCUUUGAUUGUGCAGCUUUCAACAGGGAGGCGGCAGUGGAAGGAGUGGCGAUCCGGCCCCCCGCAGCAAAGGCUGCCGCUUGUAUCAAAGGAUUGGGGCCGAUGGAAGAAGCUUUUGUGUUAGAGGCUGCUUGUUUCUUUGAGGUGUUUAGGGGUUUGAUUAGAGGGUUUAGAGUUUUCUGAGGCACCAAUGGCUUUGCAGACUGCAGGAGUUGGUUAAGUGGGUGAGGGGUCGAAGAUGGUGUUGCCUCGGAUAAUGUAGCUGACAUUGUGGAACUACCUUGAGAGGUUAAAUUUGUUGCACCUGUUUCGAAUAAUUGAAACAACUUUUUCAUAAGGUUAGUACACAAUUUUAUGCAGAUAUACUGAUCUCACAAACAAGCUACCCAUGUCGAGAGAAAGACGGAGAAAGAGAACCCUGGUUAGAGUAAUACUGACCUGAUAAGAAAGUUGGCAAGCUUCCCGUCAUUGGCAUAUUGAUGGCCAAUGAGAGUGCCUUUUGUGCAGCCUUUCUUUCCUCAGAGCUAGCUAAACUGCUAGAUUUAUUCCCGUUGUUUUGGUUUAGAGAUGCCUGGCGUUUGAUGACACCCCAUCUCUGGACAUUCAGCAAAUAGCAUGUCUUUGGUAAUAGGACUCAAUAGGAGACAGUAGUUAGAACAGGCAAAAACUUGGUAAUAACUAUCCAAGAACAUUAGCAGUUUAAGUUCCACGAAAAAAUCCUUCUCUUCAUCACAUUACACACAUUCUCCUGCGCUCUCUCGUUGAUGCAGUAUAAUGUUCUAAAAGAAACUAAAAUGUGCCACUAACUUUUCCAUGGUCCAAGAGAGUGAGUGACUUUUUCAUCUUCCAAUAGCAAUCUCUCACGAGAAAAGAUGCAUUUUUUCAAAAAAAAAAAAAAAAAAAAAAAAAAAAAAAAAAAAAAAAAAAAAAAAAAAAAAAAAAAAACCUUCUAGAGAACUUGGUGAGUAACAAUAAUAUAAAUUGGGCUGAUUUUUGUCCUGUUAUGAAAAUUUUGGCCAUAUAUAUAAUAUGAUUUCAGUGUAAAUGCGACAGCACCGAUGUGAGAAGGAUGAUUUAAAAAAAAAAAUGCUAGAUAUCCUAUAAUCUAAAGAUAACUUGGAUGCUAGAACCAUCAUUCUGAAAUUUUGUAUCAGAUUAUCAAAUUUCAGCUACUUCCCUAACAUAGCACUAAAAAUUUCACAACUACAGAUUAGAUCAAUGUAAACACAAGAAAUAACAGAUCCAUCAACUUUGGCCCAAAUGUAAGCAAAGAUACUGGGCGGUAGUACCUGAGACAACUGCGAAGGUGUUCUGUCAUGCUUAAAAUCCCCUUUUAAUAUACUAGCCCAAUUACCUUCGCCACACUUCUGAACAGCAGCUAUUAAUUCCAUAUCCUCCUCUUUGGUCCAUAGUUUCCUCUUCUUCUUGGGGGGUCCACUUGAUGCUGCUGGCCCAUUACCAUCCAAUUCUUCAGCAGUUGUUCCAACUGGUAGGGACUGUUUUUGAUCAGGUAUGUUUUGGGCUAACGGGGCUUCGGCAUUUGUACUAAUGGGGCCCGGUUCAGAGCCCGAAGAACAUAGAACCUGUUAGUGUAUUUAACAAUAACAUCAUAAAGCCAUUAGUCACGUGUAAUCUCGCAAAGGUUACGUCUACUAAGUACUGGCUAAGUGGCUAUUUGGAAAGAGAACUUUGUAUUUAUUGUAGGUUAUGAGGAUCCUAAGGAUCUAUCUAAACCUAUCAAAUAGCUGUAACGUUUAUCAUAAUAAGAUCUGAGAGGGUGCGAGCGCACAUGGACCUACAACUUGUAAAGCAGUUGAUUCAUCAAAUUGAAACCAAACAAGUUAGAAUGUUUUGUUGAGGACUAAACCUUGACACAAGCUGCCACCUCAGAUGAUGUUUCCUCAUCAGCAACAGGAACAGCUUCUACUUCAAAUUCCAGAUCACUUUCAUCAUCCUGAAUUAACAAUGAACAAAGUAAUAUUAUUGAUCACGAUAAAGCUAUAUGCAUACCAAUACAGCCUGAUUUGCCAAUACCCAUAACAAAGAGAAAAUAAGAUUGAUUCUCUCUUUUGAUUCAGAAAUAAGAAAAUUUUUACACACCAAAUUAUGCAAUAAGAAAGUGAUAAAUUGGAACACAAGGUGUUAAAGUGGAAUCCGGUUAUACCGCAAGGGGCUAUUUAAAGUACUCCUCUAUUCAGAAGUUUGAGGUCUGUUUGUAUUCAUGCACAUCUUGUUUAGCAUAUAAAUUAUGUUUACUUGGUAAUUGGUUGACAGGGAGUAAACUGCAUCGUAUAGACAUUUUAAUCUACGUCAUUUUCAUGAAAUGUAGUAAAAGCAAAAUGCUAACUUGAACUUUAUAUAUAUAUAUAUAUAUAUAUAUAUAUAUAUAUAAACCCCUAUUUUACAGUUUAUCACUGGAUAACUUGUUCCAACAUCGAAACAAGGUAAAGUUUAAGCAUGGUCAAUAAAUGAGGUAAGACAAAGUUUAACGAACCAAAAGCUCAGCUCCAUCAUCAAUUUUUUCCUGUAAUAUGUGCUUGUAGGCCAAAUGUCUCCAUAUCAUCUGAUAUUCACAGGCACUAGUAAUACCAGUUGAAGUUCUUUUCACAAGUGUAUUCCAAUCCACUUUCGGACUGGCAAAUUGAGAAACUUCCUGGAGAAGAGUAAGAAUUGUUGUUGCUGGGUACCUAGAAAAACAGUGUUAAUGAAACAACAAGCGGCACUUAGCUACUAUAUUUUAAAUUCUAGAAUCGGCAAGACAAUUUAUCAUACAAAUGUUGGUUUUUAAAGAAAAUUCUGAAUACACUGGUGGAUACAAUGCAACCAUAAUUCGUAUCAAAUUUCUUCAGCUCUACAGUCAUAAGUUUCUUACCAAUUCUAUUUAAAACCAAAUUAUGAAUCAUCCUACCAGAUUAUAGGGAAUUACCCAAAGCAAGUCCACAAUUAAUAGAUACAAGAACCGAAACCUAGCUCGAGAAAAGGAAAAAAAAAAAGACGAAAUGCACGGUAAGCCAUUUUGAAUUGGCCUUCUCAAUUUUUAUUAUUACUUUUUUUAAGCGACACACUCUCAACUUUUGAAAUUUAGUUUUUGAGUGCUUUGAUCACAUAAAUUAGGAAUUUUAUCAAAUCCAACAGUAAUUCGGUUAAAUUUAACCGCUCUAAUCACAUUUUAUCAAAUAAAAUGAAACCAAUUAACAGCUAAUAGAUAACAGAACGAUCGUAUUUAAAAAAAUUCUCAAACAAACUAACUAGAAUAUAUCCUCAGAGCAUUUUUUACCUCGAGAACACCAGAAAAACCUAGGAUUUUCCCAUUCGAGGAACCCUAAACAACACCAAAAUGGAAGAUGCUACGAUCGAAUCUAUGCAAUCAAUUGAAGCAAGGUAACUAAGCGAUUCACGAAGGGACGAGGAAGAGAGGGACCUUUGGAGGAGGAGGGAGACAUCGUCCUCGUUAAUGGUGGCCUUCUUCUCGGUCGCCAUGGCCGAGUUCGGGGGAGGGGGAGAAGUGGAGAGAUCGAUUUGAGGAGGAGGAGGAGAGCGCGGAGAUGAAGCAGAGAGCGAAGUGGAGAUCGGCGAACUCGGGCCGGGUCGAGAUCACCGGGCCGGGAGUAGGGAUCUCGAUAGCUACGGAUACUCAAAAUUUUAUAUGAACCUGAAUCUGAACGGGGCGGUACUCAAAAUUUAUCUGAUACUAUAAUGAUAUGAUUUCGAAUAUGGAUAUUAAAAAUAAAAAUUUAGCGGAUAUGAAUUUUAGCUGUACUCGAUUCGAAUCUAAAUUUAUUUUACAUUAUAUAAUAUAUAUAUAUAUAUAAAUUUGAUGUUAUAUUUAAAUUUAUAUUAUAAAAAUUUAGAUUUAAUAUAAUAUAUUUUGAAAUAAUAAAAAGAGAAAUAUGUGUUUUCGGUCAGAUUUUUGGGUUCGGAUUCGGGUUCAGAUUUUAAAUUUUUUAGUCGGGUUUGGCUUUGGACAUAAAUUUUUAAAAUUCGUUAGAUUCGGUUUCGGGUUUGGAUUCGAUUCGGAUUCAUAUUUUUGAAAAUCCGUCUUGAAUCCGAACCGUUGACGGGAGAAAUUGAUUACUCCAUUGAACCCAUUUCGGUUUUGAAGUAACUUAGCCACAACAUACGACUAUACAAGCGAAAAGUGUAAUUAUUAUUUAUAUAAAUCUGCAACUUUUCAGAUAAUUUCAAAAUAGUUUCUACCAAUUUUUCUACUUAUUCAAAGUAAUAGAUUGAAAUGUGAAUUAAUUAGACUUCAAACAUGAGAUCUCAACUAUCAAUCAUUAACAAACUGUGCUAGAUAUGGUUUGCUAGAAGAGAGAUUUUUUUUUUUUUUUUGAAGUCAAAAUUUAGGGGCAUAUAAACACUAAACUUUAGCGGACUUUUUGCUGAAAUAAUCUGAAACGUUAGGGGCUUGCAUAAAAGUAUCCUUUUACAUUUGAGUCCGGUCCAAAUUGAUUAGACCGGGCCGAGUUAGGCCUUUUAGACCACAAUUGGGUCGAAGGGGGCCCAAAGGCCCAUUAAUCGCCCUUUCACUCCUCGUCCCAAACCCGAUGACUCACCUCUCUCUCUCUAUACUCCUUUUACUCCCUUCUCCAUCUCCUCCUCUCCCUCUUCUCCCCCACCGUCACCGGCGCCGGCGCUGACGAUCUGGCGCCAUUUCCGGCGAAGCUCCGGCGAUAGCCAUCAUACUUCAUCAUCUAUUCGCUCUUCUACCUCCUCCGAUCGCAGAACCGUAAACCCUCGCUUCGCGUUGCAUUAGAUCGCGCCCAUCUACGCCCAAUCUGAGGAGAAGAUCCGGUAAGCGAGAUCCCUAAUCUAUCUUCUCUGAUUGUACGUUAUUGGGGGUCGUUUUGAUGAUGAAGCUCUAAUUUUGUUAUCUGUAUUUAAAGGAAGCGUCGUAAUCGAUCUACCAUAUCGAAGCAUGGAUAAAUUGGUGGAGUUUGGGAGAAAAGCUUGGUUCAUUGUUAGGGUUCUAUCCGGGUACGAAGAGAGGAGAAUCAGAUCUUACAGGUUGCUGCUUCAGAAGCGGAUCGAACAGGUUGUUCUUAUAUCUACUUGAUGCAAAAUUGUUUCGUUUAGAGCUAUUUCGGGGUGAGAAGAAAUAGAAAAUCCUAAGAUGUCAUAUAUCUUUACUCCCAUAUUCUGAAAUUGCUGUGCUUAAGUAGCAUUUUGAAAUGUAGUGCUUAUUUUCUGAGUACAAUGUGUUGUGCUUUAAAUGGUUUACUGAUAAUCAUGUGUAAGUGUGCUUUCCCGCAUGGUUCUGAAUUCUGAAACAACUUCUCUACUUGAGAAGAUUUUCAGAUGGUGGGCUACAAAAAACUCUUGUAGUUCCGGUGGAAAGAAAUUGAGAGGAUUUAAUGGAAAAUCAUUAUGGUUUCUCAACCUACUGUAUCUGAAUAACACCUCUGCAAAAGUUCCGAUCACACCAAAUAAGAUGCAAAUAAGCCCAUUGGUAAAAAUGAUUGUCACACUGGCAUCAGUGUGAACCUCUUAAAAAGACAUCGACAUUGCAUUAUAACACUUCCCAACGACUUCCAUUUUGGUGCGUACACCGCUUAUGAACUCCAUGUUCUAUAAACAUGGUUCUGGAAUUGGCAUAUGCUGAUUUCUUAACGCUUGCUUAUGACAGUGACACAAUUUCUGCCACUGGAUAAUUUAAACGUUCUACAUAAUGUAUGAUAGUACAAAAUAAAACAAUUUACAACGUAUUACAAUACAAAUUCAACGAGUUCUUUGAGAUGCUCUAUUUUAUUAUUUAUCUUUUUGAUGCAUUACCUUUUCUUUUGUGUCAUAUUCUUUCAUAUUUAUAAUGUUUGGAUUGCAUUUGACUCGCUUGCAUAUGUAUCAGCAUAUGGACCUGUUAGAUACUGCAUAGUUUCUAUAUGAUUUCCCAAUGAUUUGCAUACUAUGGCUGCUUUUAGGAUGUUGGCAUUUUUAACUUUUCUACCUUUAACAUGUAUACAUUUAUCCGAGCUUUACGUAUGCUAUGUAUUGGUUUUAUACCUUAUUUUAGAUUGUAUAGCGCCAUGUAUGGAGCAGCAUACCAGUUAGGCAUUAUAAGAUGGCUUGACCAUCUGUAAUCUACUUGGCACCUCGUAAACUCAUUGUGAAGGAUGGCCAACCUUCAUUAUCUGGCCCACCAGGAACCUAUGAGCUAAACUAUUGCAAGAAAAUCUAACAAAUGCCUCUCUACUUGGUCAUCUGAAAGAUAGGAAUAUGCGAAAUUCUAUCCGAAUGUCUUAUAGAGGGGUAUAGAUUAGCAAAUCCAUGUAAAAUUAAUCCUCUAGGCUGAAAGUUUACAGGCUUCAGAAAGAUGGUAUUAGGGUGGAUAUGAUAUUUGAGAUGGUCUCAAGACUGAAAAAUAGGUGGUUGGUAGCAAGAUGCUUUUCGGUAAUGAAUAUGCUCCGAGAAGUACAUAGAUAACCUUCUUGAUUCUGGGUUUAAAAGUUUCAAAAAGAUGGGAUAAGGGGGGGAUAUGAUAUUUUGAGUAGUCCUCAGGACCGGAAAAUAGGAAAUGGGUAGCAAGGUGCUUUCGGUAAUAAAUAUGCUUCAAGAAGGAUGACGAAAAAUUAAGGAGAUGCAGUAACCAAGAGAAUGAACAGAGCAGGUACCCUGGGUUGAAAGUUCUUGAAGUUCUUCUAAUCAGUAAACAGUAGCAUGCAUGAUUAUAAAUGGAGUAUGUCAGAAUUGUUUGCAUAUAUCAUAUGCAAUGAGCUGGACCUAAUAAAACUAACCCAGUCCGCACUUAUUUGAUACGUAAAUUCGUCGAUCGUUGUACACUAGGGUUCAAAUGACUAUUUUUCAUUGUGUUUUUGUCCAUCGUUUUUUCUUAUGUCUUUUCAAUCUGGAGUGUUCUAUCAACUAUUCUCUUGCUCGAUUGUUUUGGAAUGUAAAAUAGGAAGAGAUUAUGUUGCCUGAGGAGAAACAGAUGAAUAUGUACUAACAGCAAGUUUUAUUGCACAUUGUUCAAAAUAUUUGCAAUCUUAAUAUAUAGGUAAGUACCUAAUGUUAUAAACAAUCUUAUCGUUUUAGUUGUUCAGUUAUAAUCUGAUGUCAUUCCAUGCUUUUCAUUCCUUCAUUGUGCUCAUAUUUCUGGUUUAAAAUUAAUUAUUUGUAUCAUCUGUUCAGUCACAAACUAGGAAACAAGAAUUGAGGAGGAUACCGGAACAGGCUAUUUUAUCAGAGGUUCGUCGCAUGGUCGAGGAGAUGCAAGCAUUAAACCGUCAGCUUGAUGAAACAGUAAGUUAUCCUUUCACAACAUACAUCAUUUUAUGUAUUUGGUUCUUCUAUUCUCUAUUGCUUUUGUUUUCUUACUGAAAUUGUAAAGAGAAGGAUAAUUUAGUAACUUUAGUAUACCUAUUUAAAACUUGGAAAUUUGGCCUUAUAAUAUUCUUUGCCGCUCUAUUGCUCAAUUUUCAAAUGUGGAAGGCCAAAUAGAUUAUUUGGGUUUUUUGUGAAAAUAAUCAAUCUUUUUGUGAUAUUGCAUCUCUAUUCAUUUCUUUUUUUCGUUUUGUAGCUUUGGGUUAAAUGUUCUUUUGUAAACUGAAAUGCCUUUACCGGUAUGAUAAAUACUUGCACUUUGAGUUAUAGCCAGGGAAAUUUUGGUCCAUUUGAAGCUACUUCGAUCCAAUAUCAUAGAAACGAAAAAAAGUGAGCGAAAAUUAGGGGGAAAAAAACAAAAAAUGGAUUAUUUUUCACUAUUCUUAUUUCACGAAAUCAUGAAAAUGAAAAGGAAAAAAAAAAAAAUCAGUGGUUGCUUCUGUCAGUUGAAUGUCAGUGGCAUUACUUUGUGGUAACAUUUCCCUUCCACAGGAAGCUGCAAUCGAAGAAUACUUCAAACCGAUCGAUAAGCACGCGCAGGUAAUAAUGAAUAUGCAACUCGAGAAAGAGGAAAAGCAAAUGAAGGAGAUGGUAAAAGCCAUGCAAGAGCAAAUGAUGGCACAACGAGAGAUGGUGAUCAAGCAAAUGGAAGCUGCUAAUCUUACUUCGAACCACCCCGAUCGAAGUACACCCUCGACACAUUCGAACCAAGAACAAGUCAAAUAAUCCUUCACCAAACUUUGUUGUAUUUAUCCUUUAUGGAGGAAUGUAUGUGUAUCCACUCUUUGCGCGCGAUCUGGUUAGCAAUAAUAAGGUAUAACAAUUUGUAUCAGAAAUCUCGUCCUCUUUUAUCGAGAAAGUGCGAGUUUCUUGACAUUUUUGUCAUACCCUUGCUCUUUGAAGGUGAUUUUUGUUUUGAUGGUAGUAGCAUAUUGUAUUUGAGAGAUCAUAUGUUCCGAGCUUUUUUGAAAUAGCUUUACUUAAACAACAUUUCCGUAGAAAGUCAGCAAGCUUUCUGAAUUUGCUAAUGCAGGGAUUGGGUUUUGCUAUGAUGACUUUAUUUUAUCCCUCUGUUUAAAAUAAUCCGGUUAAAAUGCUUAAAAAUAUAAAGUUGUUGCUCAAUUAUUGAAUACACGUCACAUCGGUAGUUGACCUUUCCUAUUUUGUCAACGCACACAAAAUUGAACGGUGACCGUUAUCUCGUGGGAUGCAUGUGGGAACAAAUAAAACAUGUCAUAUCUAAAGUGCCUCGUGUUACUUAUGGGCCCUUGGAUCUUUUAUGUACGAUUUAGGGUGUGUUUGUUUCAUCUAAUCUCAGAGUGCCAAAUUACGUAUUCUAAUACUUUACAUGCAUGACUUUUGGGUGAUGAUAGAAGAGGCUAGAGAUCAACCCUAAUGUUCUGACCAUAUACAUUGUUUUUUUUUUUUUUGUUUUUUUUUAGAAAUAGAUAGCACGUUACUCGCUUCGUUUAUUUCAUUUAGAAAUAAAUUUAGCUGGAAAUGUGAAUCAACUAGAAUUCGAACUUGGGUCUCGGAUACCAACCACUAAGCCCAACUAGGAUUCGAACUUGGAUCUUUUAUGUACGAUUUAGGGUGUGUUUCUUUCACCUGAUCUCAAAGUGCAAAAUUAUGUAUUCUAAUACUUUACACGCAUGACUUUUGGGUGAUAAUAGAAGAGGCUAGAGAUCAGCCCGUAUGUUCUGACCAUAUACAUUGUGUUCAGUGUGAAGUAUCCACUAUAUUUUCUAUUAUAACAAAAAUUGAAUCAACAUAUAUCAAAAGCUAGUGAUUUUCACGGUUUAUGCGACCUUAGCAAAAUCAGCAGGCCACGGAUAAUCGAAUGUUUGUUUCAAUCUAAAUUGGAGAAAACUUUUGUUGCAUUUUAACAGGGGAAGCAAACAAUUUGUCCAAUCUAAGGCAAAAACGGACUACAAACUGUUCGGUCCAUGGUCCACGUGGUACUCAUGGUGCUCCCAAUAAGCCAUCGACCCAAAACCCACUCAUGUCCCAAAGCUUUUGCAGCCCCAUGAGUCAGUAUCAAUCGCAAUUUUAGUAUCCCCAAUUGUUUCUCUCUCUCUCUCUCCUCUUAACUCCCUCCAAAACGUCUCUCUCUCUCUCUCUCUCUCUCUCUCUCUCUCUCCACCGCCAUUAUUCAAAUCGUAGCCGUUGAAAUCCCUGCCUCUGAAUCUCUCUCUCUCUCUCUCUCUCGCACGCUCGCAUACCCUUUCAAUUUCAAAUCUCCAAUUAUUUUACUGAGGGGGGUGGUGGGGAUUUUAAAAGCUACGGCGGAAACCAAACGCAGGAUAGAGAGAGGCGACGACGAUUUCACAUUUCUCACCUUAAAAAAAAAAAAAAAAAAAAAAAGAGAAAGAAAAAUUCCUCUUCUCCUCUCUUUCGAUUCCUAGGGUUUCCGCUCCGAUUCCCUCCCCGCCACCUUCACCUUCACCCUAACCCUAAGCCCCGAUUUCGGAUACGAGAGGGAUGAGCUCCCAUGCGGUUCCCCACCAGAGAAGGAUCAGCCACUCCGCACGCCGCGCUCCGGCGCCUGCGGCGGCUGCGCGGAAGCUCGAAGCUGGCGCCGAUGGCGGCGGCGCCGGAGGCGGAGGCGUCGCCAACGGGAAGAGCUCCAAGCCCACGUCGCCUUCGAAUCAACCCUCGUAAGAUCCCUAGCUGCAGCUCCUUUGUUCUUGUGGGUUGUUCAUAGUUUUGGGCGGUUGCUGUAGGGGGGAGAGAACGGUUAAGAAGCUGAGGCUUUCGAAGGCGCUUACCAUCCCCGAGGGCACGACGGUCUCCGAUGCGUGCCGGAGGAUGGCGGCGAGGAGGGUGGAUUCGGUGCUGCUCACUGAUGCUAAUGGGCUCCUCUCCGGGAUCGUCACUGAUAAGGUUUUGAUUCACCGAAUCCAUUUUUGGCGUGUUUGGUGUGAUGAUAAUUGUGAAAUAGUUACUUAAUUCGAGCUAUUUAAUAAAAUUGAUAGGAUAUAUCCACAAGAGUGAUAGCGGAGGGAUUGAGACCCGAGCAGACGAUCGUGUCCAAGAUCAUGACGAGGAAUCCAGUGUUUGUCAUGUCCGAUGCGCUCGCGAUGGAGGCGCUGCAGAAGAUGCUUCAAGGUUUGCCUAGUUAGAAGAUUGGUCCUUUUGAUAUAUUUUUGUUAGUUGCUUCUUUGUUCUUCCGCUGCUGUGGUUUUGAUGUUAUUUGGAAGCAACACUUGAUUAUGUUGGGGUUCGUGAAGAGGAACAGUAAAGGUACUACUUUUGUUUAAUGGAGAGUUAUUGUUGAGGAGGAGCUCUAUUGGUAAUUAUUUCAUGCUGGAGAACUCUGUUUAUGAUUAUGGUUAGCUUUCUCUUUGCCGAUAAAUUUUUGGGUUAGGUGGAGAAAUUAAAGUAGGAAAAGAACAAGUUUUAGAUGUAAAAGCCCGUCUGAAUUGGGAAAGGAACAUUUGCAGUUUCUUCGAGUGCUAGCCUGUCACAGUGUCACCAGCAAAACUGUCCUUCUGCUUAACUAAGAAGUGAAGAUUUUUAUUUGAUUCUUCUUUUUGUGGCUACCCAUAACCAUUUUCUUAUGGCUGGAGAGUAUAUAGAAAAGUGCUUUAUGAUAGGUAGUGAUAUUUGUUUGUAUCACUGCAAGUUAUUCAUGUUGCUAACAAAACGUAGUUUUCCUUGGAUGUCAAAGGCAAAUUUAGGCACCUUCCUGUGGUAGAAAAUGGUGAAGUUGUUGCCAUGCUCGACAUCACAAAGUGCCUUUAUGAUGCAAUAUCAAGAAUGGAAAAGGCUGCAGAACAAGGCAGUGCGCUAGCAGCUGCUGUCGAAGAGGUUGAACGCCAGUACGGCAGCAAUUUUUCAGGUGCGUUGUAAUUUCACUUAUGUUGCUUCACCCUCAUUUUUUAUAUUAAUUAUGUAAAUUUGUCUGUUUAACUGCUUUGCCUCCUGUUUAAUGCAUUGAUUCUUUAUUUUCCUGGCUGCAGCUCCUUAUGCUUUCAUAGAAACCCUGCGAGAAAGAAUGUUUAAACCUUCUUUGUCAACCGUGAUCACUGAGAACUCAAAGUACGUUUGGAACUUUAUACAAACACUUUCGUCCUUAAGGAUAUCUCCAACAGUAAUUUAUCUUGAAGAAAUCGGAAAUAGUUGAAGUUUGAUAAGUAUUUCUAUAUGCAGGGUUGCAAUAGUAUUCCCUUCAGAUCCUGUCUAUGUUGCCACAAAAAAGAUGCGCGAUAAUCGUAUUAAUUCUGUGAUCGUCAUGACUGGAAGCGCAGUUCAAGGAAUUCUAACGUAUGUUUUUUGCUUUGUUGAGUAAUGCUUUGACAGUAGUUUGCUGAAGAUUUACUGGCUUUGUUGUUUCCACUUAUUUUAUAUUUUGAAGUACACAUUUAAGGUGUUCAUCAAUACAUGCUUUGUUGCAAUUUUCUGCAGUUCUAAGGAUGUGCUUAUGCGAGUAGUAGCACAGCAUCUUUCGCCUGAGUUGACUUUGGUAGAAAAGGUUUGUUAUGUCAAGUUCCUUUUGCAAAACUCAACUAGAUUUUCUAAAUACGUAUUCUCUCUUUUUUGUCGCACUUGCUACUAUAUGAUUGUGAGUGUCUAAUUAAAGCUCUCUUGGUGCUUUUUUUAUCCUGCUUUUGCAAGAAUGGUAUACUUAAUUAUAGUCUUAGCUGUGAUCUUUGUAAUUGCAUCUCUUAGUUGGAUUUUUGGAUUCUGUGACUUUUUAUCCGGGAACUGGAUAUAUUAAACUUUUUCAGAAUAUAUCAUACCAAUGCUUGUCAUUGGUUAUUCAAAUUUUCCCACUUCUUUGCUAACUUGUUUGGCUAUUCGCAAAUUUACCUAGUGGUGUGGUUGCUCCAUUACAAUUCGAACCUUAUUAAUUGUUUGAAUUCAUCUCUGUUCUUAUAAUAUUUUAGUUGCUUCACUACCUUGGAUUUAUUAUUAUUAUUAUUAUUUUCCUGUUGCUAAGUGUUUAGCACCAAUUUUCUGUUAAGCUCUGAAGUAUCUUACUUUAAUACUUUCUAUUAUUACUACUGAAGGUAAUGACUCCGAACCCUGAAUGUGCUACUUUGGACACAACAAUUCUUGAGGCGCUCCAUAUAAUGCAUGAUGGAAAAUUCUUGCAUAUUCCUGUGCUCGAUAGAGGUAACAAUUUAUUAUAGAAGACAUCUUGUUUUUUUGUUAAUUUAUAUCUGUAACUGGCAAACAUCUUUUUGCUUCUACUUAUGUAAUGUAACUACUUGAACAGAUGGCAAUAUCACUGCUUGUUUGGAUGUUCUGCAAAUCACUCAUGCAGCCCUUUCGAUGGUAAGGAUAAUGACUAUUAAUAUGCCUUUUGCUUGAACCAUAAAUUGCCUCUCUUUUGAUUAGCUACAUCUAUGUGUACUGAAGGAUUUAUAAACUGCAGUUUUACGAGUUUUUUGCACAUACACCUGGCCAUUAUGUAAAUUUGCAUAAAUAGUCCUGCAAAGUUGGUGCCUGCAUGCAUUCCUAAACACUAUAUAUUUGUAAGGGAUAAGGUGAUUGCAUGCAUUCCCAAACGUAGUAUUUACUUGUGAGGUAUAUUAGAGUAACAAUUUUUGCUUUGAUUCCUCCAGCAACGUCAUAUGUGCAAGUAACAUAUGCAAAAAAAGGAAAAAGGAAAAAGGAAAAAUAAGAAAAAUAGGAGACAAGUUCUAUAGUCUAUAACACUAGCCAUAUUGCUUCUGCUGCUGUUUAUCUACUUCUUAUAUAUAUAUAUAUAUACACACACACGCACAGGUUGAGGGAGGAUCAGAAGCUGUAAAUGGCAUGGCAAACACAAUGAUGCAGAAGUUUUGGGAUUCUGCCCUUAAUCUGGAGCCACCAGAUGAUGAGCUUGAUAGCCGCAGGUUUUUCGCAUUUCAAACCCCUUCUCCCAAAAGUUUUUUCUUUAAAGUAAUUUUCUUUUUCUCGUUUGUCUGCAGUGAUGUUUCAAUGUUGAUGGCAUCAGAAUGUGCAGAAGGGAAGUAUACAAAUCCUCCUUCUGUUGGUCACUCAUUUGCCUUCAAGCUUGAAGACCGAAAAGGGCGUGUGCAUAGAUUCAACAGUGGUGAGUGUGCAAUCGUUUUUCUGUCCUUCAAUGCUGGCCUGCUUGGCCAUGCUUCUGAUGCGCGCUGAAUCACUUUGUGCAAAGUGGAAGUGAUUUAGCAUCUUGGUUCUUGUGAAUGCAGAAAUAUGCCCAUCAGAAUCACAAGCAAUAAUCUGAGGAUUCUUGUGAAAGCGAUCCUGCAAUGAGGUCUUCCAGCAGGUGAUUCCACGUGCAUCUGGGCCAAUACCUGUUAAUUGUCAUAUUUAAGGUUCCGUAUAUGACACUUCAUGUUUUUUUACUUCUCAUUGCAGGUACAGAGAACUUAACUGAGCUUGUUACUGCUGUGAAGCAGAGAAUAGGGAUCAACGAUGAGGAGAAAAUUCAACUUCUGGUGGGUUUUUUAAUUGUUAUGUCAAAAAGUAUAAUCAUGUCAAUGGUUUGGUUUCAGAGUUCUACGAAUUUGGUUUUUGAGCCAAAAAAAUUUGCUCCCUUGGGCUCCCCACCGUUCUUAGAAACUAUUGAUCCUUUCUAAUGCAGUAUGAAGAUGAGGAAGGUGACAAAGUUCUCCUAACUACUGAUGGCGACCUUACCGCUGCAGUGUAUGUCGCGAGAUCAGCUGGAUGGAAGGUUAGUGUUUCUCUUGAGGAUUUAAUUCAUGUAGUUAUAAAGAUUGAAACCAAUAUACAAUUUGCCGCCUUUUUCUUGGGGGGGAUGCAUUGGAUAUCAUUAUGCAAGGAAAAGUUGAUUGAGAUACCCAUCUGUUACUUCUAGGUCAUUCUAGAUAGAAUUUUUGAUAGCGGAGUAGGUUUAAUUUUAUUUCUCCAAAUCAUCUAUUCACGUAUUCAAUAAACCUAUGUUGACUUUCCAAUUGUUUUACUUAUUUCAGGUUCUGAGGCUUCACGUUGAUGAUGUUAAUGCUGAGAAGGAAACGGCAAAGCCAUCGUCGAAACUAGCGACUGCCCAAAAAAGUCGGUGGACACCAAUACAAGUCGGGUUUGUUACAGGUGCAGUGGCUCUUACAACUAUUGGUGUUGUGGCUUACUUGAAACGCUCAAAUGUGUGAUAUCCUCUGAAAAGCAGGACAGAGUAAUCUUAGUGGGCAAUUAUGCAGCUAACUAUUGAAGCUCUCCUGAUCAUAUAGGAGAUAAAAUGCAGUUAAGUUAUUUCAAAAUCUCCAUUAGAGAGAGAGAGAGAGAGAGAGAGAGAGAGAGUUAAUAGUUUUAUGGGGAGGGUGAUUGAAAAUUUGAGGCAUUAUGGGUAUAAAAGUCAUAAAGGGAAUGGAUGAUACCAAUACGUCACAAAAACCAAUACAUUGCUUUUACCAAAAGGGUGAUACCAAUACGUCACAAAAACCAAUACAUUGCUUUUACCGAAUAGGAAAAAGCUUGUAUUUUAAUGCUAUAUGUCUCUGCUCUUUUCCUGCAUCUGUUACAUUAAUUUCUCUUCAUCUUGUUUGAAAUUUUGCUCGUCAUCGUAUUUGCAAAAAUAAUUGUAUGGAUCUACACCUGAAUAAGAUGACAAGCAUCAUCCACAGAAUGUGAAAGCUUUGGUGUGUUGUCCACAAUGUAAAGUAAUGCAAUUAUUGCGUGUUGUUAUUAAUCGAACUGAUCUUGGUGUGAACAGAUAGAUUCGUUGAAUUUCGGCGUUAUGUACGUGAUUGAACAUUUGGCAAAUUUGAUUUGUGUAUUUAUGUAGAUAUUAAAAGCUUGUUGUGGGCCCUGUUUCUUCACCAUCUAGGCUGGCUCAGAAAUUGUAGAGACCCUCUUUUGGGCCAAAGCCACGUGAAAUAACUUCUUUUACAAGAAAAAAAUUGCGUGCCUGUUCUCUUGUAUGAUCUUGAUGUGGCCUACAAAAUUUCAAUUCAUCUUUGAACAUCACUUACUUUUCAAAACUGAUUAUUACUUCACAAUGUUGAAGAUGCUUACAUUUAUUCUCUCUUUUUGGGCUCAGAGAACAUGCACUAGAAAUGAAGAAAACAGCCCCACAAUUUCUUUUUUUUUUUUUCUUUUGGUUAAGUUUUUGUGAGUCUUCGAUAAAGCCAAUAAUUGUAUUGUUCCACAUGCUCAUCGGCUCAUGUGAAUUUGAAGCCAUUUGAUGUUGAUGAUGAUGUUAUAUAACACCCGCCACAAACACCAAAAUGCUUCAUGCAGGCUAAGUAGCAUACAUAUCCAUUUGUUUUGAACAUAAAAAGUGAAGUCCCUUUUUCUCCAUUCCUCGUUGUCUUUUCCUAUGAAUUUGUGUAACCUUUUUUUUUUAUAUAUCUUGUCCUAUGAAAUUAUCACCUUGUGCUCCACCAAGCUAUUCUCUUUCUCUCUCUCUCUCUCUCUAUAAGUCACGGGCCUUCAUAUUUUUUUUGGUUAUUUGGGCUCUAUUUCUCAUAUAAAUCUCACUUGAUUUCUUGUAUAAAUGAUCAGUAUUAUGAUUUGUAUCCAAUACGAGGCUAAUAUUCUGAACAAUUAUUAUUACAAACUAUACAUUAUAUUAUCUUCCUAAUGUGCUAUUAUUAUCGAUCAUUCAUCUGUUUGAGGUUUAUCAAGGAAACAUGUUACAUGAGCUAUAUAUUCGCCAUUGACGAGUUUUAGCUAUAUUUAAACUGUUAAAGAGCUCAGAUCCAACCCACAAGAUUAAACUGAUAGGUUCAUCGCAUUAUAUGAAAGUUUAGACCUUAAGCCUCCGUUUGGUUCGGGGUUAAGGAAAAAGUAGCUAUUCCAGAGAUAAGAGUUAAGUUCAGGGUUAAAGUGGGGUUAAAAUUUUUUUGUGUUUGGUUGGGGGUUGGAGUUAGUCUAGAAUAAUAAAAAAUAGUGUUUGGUUGGAGUAGAUGGAAUAAGAAGAUAAUGAUUGAUAAAGAAGGAUAAUGAUUGGUUGGAGUAGAUAGGAUAAGAAAGAUAGUGAGUUAUUAUGAAUAGAAAAUAAUGUUUGGUUGGAGUUUGGUGGGGUUAGGUGGGGUUAGCUAAUUCGGGAUAAUUUAUUUGAGGUGUGGUUAGCUAACCCGGGGUUAAAGGAUUAUUCCACCCCUUAACCCCCAACCAAACAAGGGUUUAAUAUUCAAUGUGAAACUAAAAUUUGGAACCAAGUAAAAGAAUUUUUUAGAAUAUCAAACGCUCGGUAUGUGUCUUAGUGCCGGAGAUAUGCUCGCUUAGGCACACAAGGAUUUAUUUUUCUAGUUUUUUUUUUUUUUUUUUCUUUUCUGUUUUUGCUAUGGAGGCCUUUUCAGUUCAUCCUUCUAAUAAAUAAAGCGGUAGCAUGCUACCUUAUUCUAAACAAAAAAAAAAAAAUCACGGAUUUUAGUGUGUUUGGACAGCCGACGAAAUUACUUUUCUACCCUUGUAAUUUGGGAACAGAACACCACUACAAGCAUUAUUUCGACCUAAAAAGGCAUGUGAUUGUGAAUCUCUAAAACUUAUGGUUGGUUAUCUUUUGUUAGUUAAUUUCUCCUUUGGCUUCUCAAAAGAAUGAAAAGGUUGUUUAAAAAGAAUAGCAACAUGAGCAAUAUGUUCUUUAAAUUAUUUAUUCUAUAUAUUGUGACAAACACCACUUUAGUGAUAAAUAACAACAAAUUAGGGCUUACUUUUCCUUCUAUUUUUAAUGAAAAGUCAAAAUAAUGCACUUGGCAAAUAACAAAAAACUUAAAAGAUUUUAUUGCAGGAAAAGCUGUUGAAAAAAUUUUAAUAUAAUAUUAUAGUACUAUUUAGAUAAUACUUUGUCAUACUGCACCUCAGAGCACAUACAUUAUAUUUAAUCAUAUUUUGAACCUUUUUGCUAUGACAAUAAUAAAUAUCGCUUUGAUAAUAUUGAUUUCCUAUUGUAAGGCUGCGUAGAGGCUCAAAAAUAUGAUUAACACAAUUGUGUUAGCUUAAAUGAACCUACAUUCUACCUAUGGGGGGAGGUCAGAUUGGGCCUGAGUCAUAUUCAAAAUGAUGAGAGGUUGGGUUAAACCAAGUCAUGUUUUUUUUUUUUUUUUUUGAGAGAGAUAGGUAGCAUGUUACCCGCUUCGUUUAUAGCUAGAAAUGUGAAUCAAUUAGGAUUCGAAUUUGGGUCUCGAGUACCAACCACCAAGCCUUUUGCCACUUGCUCUAGGGACAGUCGGUUUAAACCAAGUCAUGUUGAAAAUGGAAUGAGGCUGAUUGGACCGAAUCAAAAUCGAAAUUCAUGGACGUUGUGCCUGUACACAAUGAAUUAAUUAUAUGUUUUUAAUAAUUUGAACUUUUGAGGUUAAUAGUUAGCGCCAACGAUCCAAAAGUUAGACACAACCAAAUUGCUCCUAAAAAUAUCCUCAUAACAAUUAUACAAAACAAGAGAGAGAGAGAGAGAGAGAGAGAGAGAGCCAAGUGGUGGGUCCAUUGAUGGAGCAAAUUUUCCUGAGGCUUGGCUUAGGAGCUACCCCUUCUAAAGCGACUGGUAGUAAUAGGCACAGGGAUAAGGAAAAGCGAUGCAACAACCACCACCACAUACAUAGUUGGAUGGAGAUACACACAACCUUUAUUGGAUGGAGAGAAUGAUUAAGUACUACUCUCCCUAUUACUGCUUUCCAUGCAAUGCUCCGCAAUCCUUUUUCUGUUAAUGUAAUGUGCCUGGCACAUGAUGAGUUUGGUGGUAUCAUGAGUGAGCUGGAUAUUAUUUUUAUCUUAUUGGCCUGUUUGCUUUCGCUUUUGCUUCUGCAUUUAAUGGUGCCAAUCUCAUCAAAGUGUUUGAUUUAAAGCUUAUGUUGCAUUUGAUAAUGAAAAUAAGAAUUUUGAGCCUCUAAAAUGGAACUUCAAAAUGAUACUUCUGAUUCUAUUGCAGAAAAAUCCUUAGGGCCAUAUUAAUAAAUCAAAACUUAUGUUUAAGAAGCUCAAAAUGUAGAUUAAUUUAUCUUGCUAUCAGAGUAAUUCAGCUGUAAAUUAACUUUCGGUACAUAAAACAUUUAGCAUAUCCUCUUUGAAGUGGAAAAGUCAUUUCAAAACGAGCGAAAGUAAACGUAAUUUUUCAACCCAAUCAUCUAAAUGUAAUUUUUCUUAUCCCUCGCAAUAUCUUGAUUUUGGUCUAAUUUCUAUUUAUUUCAAAAGUUAUAUUUAUUAUAAGAAUAUAAGUAAGAAUAAUUUGUUCUCGAAUCAAAUGGUGCCAAAGAAUAUGCAGAGUCUUCGAUACAAAUGAGUUGCAAGGCAAAAGAUAACUAUCAAAUUUAGGUGGCCUUUUUAUGUCAUCUUUAAGGUGAGGAUAGAUUUUGUGAUAGAUACUUAAGACAUUAAAUUUAUGGUUAAAAUGGCUGAGGAUUUCAAAUCUAAUAGUCACAUUUCUAAAUUAUCAUCAUUAAAAAAAAGGUACAAUGGGCCCUCCCAGCUUUUCUCAAGGGAUUAACUUUUCCAGGGGUUAAUCAUUCCUAUUUCUUUUCAUAUUUAUGAACCUUGUCUAGAUCUUGAAACACACACACACACACAAAAUUCAUAUUUUGCUAACCUUUCUCUUUAAAAAAUAUAUAUUUCUCUAAUUUUACUAAUUAUUAUAUAUUAUUAAUGUAAUUACAUUGAUUAAUGCAAACGAGGAAUCCAAAACAUUUUCCUUGUUGUUAAUUAAUGCUGAAAAAGUUCCUUUUUUUUAUUUUUUGUUAUUAAUUAUCUGAUUGUUACUGGUGACAAAAAUGAUAAAAUAUAUCCAUUUUUUUCAAAAAUUAACAAAAUGAGGUUUUUGAGAUUCUAAAAUCUAUACUACUUUGUGAAAAACUAUUGGAAAAAAAAAAUUGGUGGGUUUAUGAGCCACAAUUCACUGUGCAUUUCUGAAAAUUAAGAUAAUAUUUUAAGAAAAAUGAAAAUCAUUUUAGUCAACUCAAUAAAUAGGAGAGGCACAUCAGAGUCAAAAAUAUGUUGCCCUAGUGGGCCCCAAAACCACAGUACCUUUUCCUUCUUUCCCAGUAUCUGAAACCUUUCUCUUUUUUUUUUAAUUAUUAUUAUAAGCUACCUCUGUAAUCCCCAAUUUAAAAAAUUACUAAAAAGGUGACCAAUCUCUGUUAUACCAUGUACUUUUAAUUACUAAACUUACUAAACUUAAGCUAAUCUCUAUUUAUAUAUAAAUCAUUAAAGAAAAGGACAAACAAACAAAAAUAGAGAGAGAGAGAGAGAGAGCCUUUCUCUGUGCAAUCAGAGAAUGAAAUUAAAAAAAUUGGAAACAUUACUUGUUUUAUAUUAAAAAUUACUAAAAAAAAGGUAACCAAUCUUUGUUACCCCCUCUUUAAUACUAAAAGCUAAUCUCUAUUAAUCUAAACCAUAAAUAACAACACACACACACACACACACACACACACACACACACACACACAGCUUUUUUUUUUUUCCAUCGUAAUUUUUAGUUCUAAAAAUUUGGAGGAGAAGAAGAGAGAGGAGAGGAGGAAAAAAGAAAAAAAAAAAAGAGUAAGAAACCCAAUGGCGGGAAUAAGGUCAACUCCGUUUUGAAAUAAGCAAAGGAAAAAAUAAAAGAAUUUGAAAUGAGAAAUUUAAAGUUUUGAAGAGGCCAAAAAGGAAAAAAGCUACGAAGUGUUGGCCAAAGCAGUGCCUUUUUCUCCUUCGUAUGACACUCCACAUGCGUUCUCUUCUCCGGGGAGGUGAGAUAAAAAAAAAAAAAAAAAGAGAGAGGGAAAAAAGGGGAAAAAAAAGCACUUCUUUGUUUAUUUAGUGGUUGGUUUAAAAAUUUGAAUUUUGAAACAAAAAUUUGAAUUUAAAAUUGGGGAUCGCUCCACCGCCGAUCUUUAAAUCCGCGGACAUUCCUCACGAGUAUACUUUUUUGAGGUAUUAAUGCUCUCCUUUGACCGGGUUUUUCUUUUUUUUUUUAUUUUAAUUUGUAUAGAUAAAUGUUUUAAUUUUGGCUAGGGUUUUUUUUUUAUUUUUUCUUUUUGUAUUGUUCUUAGGAGUUCUCCUUCCUUGUGGAUUCUACUGUUUUGUGUCGGCAAGGUGGGAUUUUGGGAGCGGGAUUAGGUGUUCUUUAGGGUUCUUCGAAAUGGGUACUCGUCAAAAUUUGAUCUUUGUGAUGCUUUUUUAUGGGUUUGAAGUUUUUUUUUUUUUUAUAAUUUGGGGCGUUUUUGCUGUGAAUUGAUUUGAUGUUUUGGGGCAUUUGAUAGUGGUGAUCUGGGGGAGAAAUGCAGGGGAAAUUGGAAGGAAAUGGGAACUAGUUUUGUGAUCUAUUGCAUGAUUGAGAUUGUGUGGUGAAAUGCAGGGGGGAUUGGGAGGAAAUGGGAAUUAGGGUUGUGAUCUAUUAGAAGAUUGGGAUUGCGCCAUGGAUCGCCGGAGUUGGCUUUGGAGGCGCAAGUCGUCGGAGAAGAGUCCCGGAGAAAGCGAGAGCUCGGGAUCGGUGUCGUCGCACUCGGAGAGAUACUCUGAUGAUCAGGUUUGUGUACAUUGCAUUUUAGAGAUUUUAUUUUGUUACAAUGCUUUUGAAUCUAGCACUUGCAUGCAAAUUUAGUUAGCAUUUUAAGUUGUUUUAGGCUCAAUCUUAGAUUGAUAUGAGGAGAAUUUUGGUUUCUCUACAUCCAUUGCCUUACUUUUGAAACUAUCUACUUAUGCUGUUGACUAGAACUUCAUGUUUACGCCUUUUUCGCUUCUUCGUCUCACCAAUCCAUUUUUGCUCGCUUUGGAUCCCGCAAAAAAUGAAGCCGAGGUGCAAAAAUGUUAUCUUUGAUUGCGUCGGAGAUUAAGGGAAAUUUUCGAAGGAGCAGUGGAGAAUUUUUUUUUUUUUUUUUGAAUUUGUGGAUCAGGAUGUUUAAUACUAGAUGAGAAUACUGAAACAACAAAUAAUAAUAAUAAAAAGAUGAUAAACCAGAAACUUAAAAGUUACAGAUGAAGAUCUCAAAUUGUAUCAAGGUUAAAAAACUAAUAUGUAGCUACUCCAUCUUUUGUUUCUUGUCACUAGUAAACCACUUGGUUUAAGAUAAAGGGUGGUGAUGAUUAUUAUUUGACAAAUGAGAUACUUUUUUUUUUUCCCCUCGGGUUAGUAAUUCUAAUCACUCUUCAGAUGUUCUUGGUCUCCGAAGUAGUUAGAAAGGGCCUACAAACUUAAAUAUUUCUAUUUUUGUGAUGGUUUCCAUUUUCUACAAGUCUAUUGGUGAGCUACACUCCACAAGGACCAGCUUUUGUUGAACAUUUCCUAAUUUUUAUCCUACCGUCAUUAAGUAAAUGGUAUUUAAGCAUAUAUUGGACAAAUUUGAAAAAAAUAAAAAAUAAAAAUUCCACUAUAUUUCAUGCUGAGAUGAGCAUUUGCCCAUUUACUCAAGUUUGUGAUUCUGUAAUAGACGCAUCCAUGUGCUUUUGAACAAAGUUUCUUUAUAUAAUUUCUCUUUUGAAUUUUAUUUGUUCAUUUCAUCUGCUUCAAUUGUUAUUGGCAUGUAAGUUUUCUCCUUCCCAUCAUAUUCUUCAAUUGGUAUUUCUUCUUGCCAACAAAGUUAAUAAUUACUCGAAGCAGCUGAAAAAUUACAUGUGUGGUAACUUUUGUAUUGUAUACGAUCUUUGACCAUAAUUUUGUGGAUUCUAGUUACGCGACAUACCAUUAAAUAUCGAGAGGGAGAGAUAGUGAUAGAUUCUUUUAGAGAGAGAGAGAGAGAGGGAGAGAUCUUUCACUAUCAUUUUUUGGAUUAUAGUUACACAAGACACCAUUAAAAAUCGACAAGGAGAGGUAGUGAUGGAGUCUUUUAGAGAAAGAACGAGCAAGAGAGAGAUCUAUGACCAUAAUUUUCUGGGUUCUAGUUAGACAAUAUAACAUUACAUAUCGCGCGCGCGCGCGCGCGCGAGAGAGAGAGAGAGAGAGAGAGAGAGAGAGAUAACUACAAUGAAAAUAAAAAUGGGUAGACUAAAAAGACGUACUUAACAUUUUUCUACGUAAAGAUGCUCCCCCAAGCUUGAAAAGCAAAUGCUUUGAGACAAAGCUAACUUCAGCUGUUGCUUUGCUAAGUGUGCUAUUGGAAAACAGGAGGUGUUGAGGGUUCAGUCGGAUACUGCUUCCCCAAGUCACGCCCAGUCACAAGAGGUUACUUCGAACAAUGGAGAUAAUAAUGAUGUCCAAGAGACUGUGAAGACUUUGACCGAGAAGCUAUCUGCUGCUCUUUUGAGCAUCAGCGCAAAAGAGGAGCUGGUCAAGCAGCACGCAAAAGUCGCUGAAGAAGCUGUUUCAGGUAUUGCUUUUCCCAAUAUUAUUCUCAAUAUAAAACUAGAAGGUAAAACUAAUUUCCUUAUUCGUAGUUUUCCUUAUCCUUUUUCAUGUUGCAUGUACACGGAAAUUGAUGUGUAAUAAUAGUUCAUGCGAAUAUGUUUAGGAGAAGAUAUAUAUCAACCAUCAUACACUGAUUGUUUUUCGUUUAUGUGCAUUGUUGAAAAUGUAACACAAUUUUUGUAAUGAUCAUAUGUAAUUUAAUCUCACUGUAGCAAAGCAAUUUGCACUUGGAUGUUUGUCAUAGCUCCGCGUUGUGCUCAAGCAAGUAGCAACUACUUUUUUAGGUGGAUUAUAAAUCUCUCUCUCUCUCUCUCUCUCUCUCUCUCUCUCUCGCUAUGAAGAACCAGUUAUCAUUUUCUUAUUUGUUGACGAGAUUUAAGGAGCAUAUGUAGGGUGUCCAUCAUAAUUUUUCAGAUACAGUCGGUUACUUUUGAUCUGGUACAGAUUCAAGUUCAUGCACGGAAUAAAUUCAACAAAUGCUGCAACUUUUUUUUUUUUCCACCAUUAACCAAACUUCCGUAUCCUUGCAGGGUGGGAACAAGCUGAAACCGAACUAGCGUCUCUCAAGCAGCAGCUUGAAAUCGCUUUCCAGAAGAACUCUGCUCUCGAGGAUCGAAUCAACCACCUUGAUGGGGCCCUCAAGGAAUGCGUGCGGCAGCUCCGUCAAUCCCGAGAAGAGCAAGAAGAGAGAACCCAUGAUGCGAUAUCCAAAAGGGCUCGUGAGUGGGAAUCGAGCAAGUCCGAGCUCGAGAAUCAGAUUCUUGAUCUCAAGAAACAGCUGGAAACUGCUGCAUCAGAAGCUGCUCCUUCCCCCCUUCAGCUUAAUCUGCAAGAAAAGCUCGAAGUUAUCGAGAGAGAGAACACGGACCUCAAAGCUGAGCUUCUCGCUCAAGCCGAGGAUAUUAGGGUUCUAGCACUUGAAAGAGAGCUUAGCAACCGAGUUGCAGAAACGGCUAGCAAACAGCACCUGGAGAGCGUGAAAAAAGCGGCCAAGUUAGAAGCUGAAUGCAGGAGAUUGCGGGCUUUCUCGCGUAAAAAAGCACCAAUUAUUGACCACAGACCAAUUCCUCAAUCAGUUUGUGUGGAAUCUCUCACUGAUAGCUUAUCAGAUAUGGAUAAUGAACCGGAAUGCUCGGAUUCGUGGGCAUCGGCUUUAAUCGCAGAGCUUGAUCAGUUCAAAAAUGGAAAAGCUGGUUCUAGAAAUCUAAAAACUGCUUCUGUGGAGAUUGACCUAAUGGAUGAUUUUCUUGAGAUGGAGAGGCUUGUGGCUUUGCCCGAGGCUGAUCGCAGAAGCUCUAGCUUCGAGCUAGAAACUGAUUCUGAAAAAGCUCUUUUGAAGGACUGCUUUUCGAAGGUUGAAAUUGAAUCUCUGCGGGAUGAAUUAGUAGAGUUACAGGCAAAGGUCAAGAAGAUCGAAAGUGAGAAGAAAGAACUGGAAAUGGCUUUGGCUGAUUCUAAAAGCCAUUAUGAGAUCACACAUGAUAAGCUAAAACUAGCUGACGAUGAAUUGGUGCAGCUGCACAAGCAGUUAGAAUUGGCUUAUGAGCUGAAACUUGCAUCGGAAAACGAAGUAAUGAAUGUGGAGGCAAAGAGAAAGGAGUUGCAUUAUCAACUAGAAUCAGCAAAUGUGGAAGUUGGAAAACAACGUGAGAAGGUGAGAUUCUUAGAACAAGAUCUUAAGGCUGAGAGGGACCUUUCUGUGAAAUAUGCGACUAAGGUCGAGGCUCUGGAGUCCACUAAGAAUGCCUUAGAGAUUCAGCUUGAAACGGUUAACUCGGAAGUCGGAAGACUAAGAGAGUUGGUGGGUGUGUUAGAAGGCAAAAUCAAGGAAGAGAAGGGCUUAUCUGCAAAAUUCUCAAUUAAAAUAGAGGCUUCGGAGGCAGCGAGAAAGGCUUUAGAAUCUGAGGUCGAGUCCGCGCGUAAAGAAGUUCGGAAAUUAAAGGAAAAGGUGGCUUUUGUAGAAGCUGAAGCAGAGAAGGAGAGGGUUAUAUCUGCAAAAUAUGCAGCUGAGGUAGAAACAGCAAAUCUUGUACUCGGGAACCUUCGUGAAGAAAUCGGCUUGCUGGAAGAGCAGAUUGAAAAGGAAAAAGCAAUUUCUGAAGAAUUCGCAGCUAAGUGCGAGAAGUUGGAGGCUCAGCUUUCGAGGCACCACCGAGAAGCCGAGCUUCGCCUAAUUGCAAAUGCAAAUGGAGAACUGAAGAUGAAGCAGGUAAAAUGCUUAUUUUCCGGUCGCAAUAAUCUUAAUAGCUCAGGUCACCUUUUCCUUCUUUCUUUUUUUUUUUCAUAAUACUCUCUAUUAGUAUCAUGACUAGUUCGUGGCCGCUUCCAUUGCAUGGCAUAAGCUUCUGGACAAUGCUCCGUUUCUUUAUUGUGGACAAUGCUCCGUUUCUUUAUUGUGCUAAACGCCUGGCUUCUGCUUCUUAAAUAGAGAAGCUGUUUGGAAGUUGUUUCUGGCAAUUGCAGAAGCUUCGGACUUCAUAAUUUACCAAUCACUUUUUUUAGAGGUGACUGCUGCUAGAAGCAGAAGCUAGGCUGAACAUGCAACAAAUCUCUCAUUUUGAUGCUCUAUUUUUUUUUUUUUCUCUAUGGUGCAGGAGAAAGAGCUCGCGGUGGCUGCUGAAAAGCUGGCAGAUUGUCAGAAGACAAUAGCUUCUCUCGGCCAACAGCUCAAAUCCUUAACAGAUUUAGAUGAUAUCAUGCUCGAGGCGGAAAUACCUCAACUUAUCCAAAGCUUUGGAGAUCACGAAAAUGGCGAUGACGAUACACUACACUGUUACGAAAGUUCACGUAAUCUACAUGGAUUUACUCUCCCAAAUGGCAAAGAGAAGGGCUCUUUCCCCUUCUCUUCUAUCUCUUCGUCGGCCUCGGCCUCGGCCUCGACCGUUUCUGGGCUUUCGAGAUUGUUAUCGUAUAGUAGGAGCAAUAGUGCUAUAGAAAAAUAGUGAAGUAAUUAAUGAAUUGGUGUUAUAUUGGAAAUGUACAUUUAAAGGAAGUGCUUUUAUUGGAGAUUUGGUGGUUGUUAAUGGCUAACAUCAUGAGUCUUGUGUUAACUGUUGAAGCCCUGAACUUUUUUUAUUUAAUGAAGAAAAAGAUCCAGAGAGCUGGAUUUCAGUGUGCUUCUUGCAAAAUCAGUUUGUCCAUGGUGAAAUUGUUGAAUCAUUCAAAUAAUUUUAGUUUUUUGGACUCUCUCAUGAUGGUAUGAUUUGUUGUUCAUGGUGAAAUUGAUGUGAUUUCCCCAAUUUGUUUUUUGGACAAAUUUCUUUUUAAAAGCAUAACCUACUUGGAACCCGGAAGCUCUAAAUUAGAGCUUCUAUUUUGAAACCUUUAAAAUCAUAUUUCUGCCGCUCGUUAGGGUAAAAUUUUUAUUUUUUUUUUAGAAAAAAGUAAUAUGCUAUUCAUUUCGUUCAAUUUUUUUUAAAAUGAACUUAGUUGAAAAUGUGAAAUAAUUAGGCUUCGAAUUUAGAACCUUGAAUGCUAAUCACUAAAUCUUUUAUCACUUGUGUUAGAAUAAAAAUUUUAUUUUUAUAUCCCGUCAUAAAUAACUAACUAUAGUUGAAA
rnacentral:lncRNA from 1 species